rnacentral:lncRNA from 1 species
UUUUUUUUUUUUAACUUUUUUUGGUUCCACUUUUAAAAUGAUGAGAGAGUAGGACAAACUUUUAAUGAGAUGUUCCUUUUAAAAUAUGUUCCACUAUGAGUUCCCUUUCUUCAAUGUCUUUUUCAACUUUUUAGGGGUCCAUAAUGAUUGUUUGGCUAAGUGAAUCUUAAUCCUAAUUUUUUUAGGGAGAUUAUGCCCCAAUUAACCCAAUCAAUGUUGAAGCUGAUAUAAAUUAAAAAAAUUUGAAUAUUAUAUUUUAUUGGUUUGAUAAUUUUAAAUGGUUACAUGAUAUAUUUAUAAUAAAAAUAAGGGUUGAUAGUAUAAAAAGUCCUCAAAUUUUUUUUAAAAAAUAAUUAAGUUUUUUUUCUUUUAUUUUUUUGCACACAAUUGAACACUUAAACUUUCAAAAUGCAUAAAAAACCUUUGAAACUUCUUCAAAAAGGCAAUUAAGCCCCUGUUUUUUUUCCACUCAAUUGGGUUACUUUUAAAAUACAUCAAAAAGACCCUCAAAAUUUUUCAAAAAAAGCAAUUAAGCCCAUGAUCUUAUUAAAAAUUAUAAAAAAAUUAUAAAAAACAAUAAAUUUUAGAAAAAUUAUUAAAUUUUAAUAAGAAUAUAAAAAUUAUAAAAUUUAUUAACAAUUAGAAAUUUUUAUAAAAAUCAUAAAAAAUUGUAAAAUUAUAAAAUUUUAUAAAAAUUAUAAAAAAAUUACUGACCACAAGUUUUUUCCAUUAAAGUCAUCACGUGUUGCAACCCAGCGUGACAUGUGGCGAAAGAUGAUAAAAAAAAUACAAAUCAAUAAAAUUUAUAGAAAAAUUGUAAAAUGCUUCUUUUGGUACGAUAAUUUUUAUAAUUUUUUUUUACAAAAUUUAUAUUUCUUUACAUUUUGUAUAAUUUUUUUACGAAUUUAAAAAAAUUAUAAAUUUUAUAAAUUUUUUAUUUUUAUAUAUUUUAUUUUUUUACAAUAUUUAUAAAAUUUUACAAUUUUUAUAUAUUUUUACGAUUUUUAUAUUUUUUAUAAUUUUUAAUAUUUAAAUUUUUUUAUUAAAAUUUAAUAAUAUUUAUAACUUUCAUUAAUUUUAUUUUUUUCUAAUUUUUAAUAAAAAUAGGGGCUUAAUUGCUUUUUUUUUAAAAAUUUGACGGUCUUUUUGAUGCAUUUUGAAAGUUCAAGUACCCAAUUGAGUGCAAAAAAAAGUAGGGACUUAACUGCUUUUUUGAAAAGGUUUGAGAGCUUUUUUUAUGCAUUUUGAAAGUUUAAGUACCUAAAUGAGUGUAAAAAAAAAAAGAGUUAAUUACUUUUUUUAAAAAAAUUUAAGGGCUUUUUGCAUCCUUAAGCCUAUAAAUAAUAAUUGAAAACAACAUAAAAUUUUAAUAAAAAGGAUAAAAUAGUAUAGAAUAUACAGAAUAAUAACAUGAUACCAUGAAUGCAAUAAAAUUUAUAUAAAAUUAAUUAUUAGCAUGCUAAAAUUCAUACAAAAAUAUAAAACCUUAAAUAUAAUUAUCAUGUAAAAUAUAAUACAAACAUUAAAGGAAACAUCUUAAUCACGUUUCAAUUGUUGAUGUUUAUUAGAAAAAGUUAUUACUUAUAUAAAAGGUUGGUUUUUGUUUCAACUUAAUUAUUGCUAGUAGGUUAAAUUUUGUCUAAUGUUACCAUUUAAAAAAAUUACUAAAAUGAAUUAACAAUAAAAUUUAAUUAUGCAAUCUGUUACCAUAGUGUUUUAUUCAAUUUCAAUAAACGGUGAGAAAGGUGAUUCAUUUAAACCAGAAAGAAGUCUUUGAGAGGAAGAUCCGCUCAGCCCUUAACUCUUCUUGACUUGUAAUGAAGGGCUUUCAUCAUUGAUGUAUUUGGCAAAGGAGGAAGGUCUAGUAAGAGGUGCAAAAGUAUGUCGAAGGGGACUAGAAGUUACUCACCUACUUUUUGCAAACGAUUCUAUCCUUUUUGAUGAAACAACUGAGGGAAGUGUUAGUGUCUUGCAGGAGGUUCUAAAAGAAUACGAGGUAUGUUCUAGACAGUGCGUUAAUUUUGAUAAAUCCAUUUUAUUUUUCAGUUGAAAUGUUACUGAAAAUGUCAGACAUUUAGUGUCACAAAAGUUGAAGGUUCGGUUCUCAUCAAACCUGAAAAAGUAUCUUAAGCUUCCGAACAUGAUUGGCAAGAAAAAGAAAAUUGCUUUUCAGGUGUUGAAAGAUAGAUUGAUUAAAAGAAUUAAUAGCUGGUGUGUUAAGCCCCUCUCUCAAGGUGGAAAAGAGGUGUUCAUUAAAAGUGUGUUGCAAGCCAUACCAACUUAUUCAAUGUCAUGUUUCUUAAUGCCUACUUCUCUUUAUACGAAUAUAGAACACUUAUAAGUAGAUUUUGGUGGCAAAACUUUAAAGGAAAAAGGGGCAUACAGUGGUGUGAAUGAAAGAACUUAUGUGAGUUAAAAGAGGAUGAGGAGUUAGGUUAUAGGAAUUUAGCGAAGUUUAAUGUUGCUUUACUUGCGAAGCAAUGAUGGCAUUCGAUUAAUUACUCGAAUUCUCUAUUGGCGCGCAUGUUAAAGGUAAAUUAUUACCCAAAAAUUACCUUUAUAAGAUUGACUUUAGGGAACAAUCCAUCUUAUACUUGGAAGAGUACAUGGGCCAUCAAAUGAGUGUUGCAAGAGGGUAUGUGUUGGCAAGUAGGAGCAAUGACCAACAUAUCAGUUUGGGAUGAUUUAUGGCUACUGAGAUCUGUGAAUUUUAAAGUGCGCAAUAGUGUUAGGAACAGUUAACUAAAUGAAGUUUCAGACCUAAUCGAUCAAAGACAAAGAUGUUGGAAGGAAGAUCUUAGGCUAAGCACAUCCAUUGUUUUCCGCUAUCCCGGCACCCUCAAUAAGAUAGGAUGGUUUGUUAGAAUGAGGUGACUGGUGAAUAUAUAGUGAGGAGUAGAUACAAAUGCUUAUUACAUGGAGGGGAUACACCUGAGCCUAGGCCUACAAUAAUGAUUACACCAUAUUUUAUAAGAAACCCUGGCAGAUAGACUUGCCAUCUAAGAUAAAGAUUACAAUUUGGAGGCUCUUUAAUAACUACAUUCCAACACACAUCAAUCUUCAUUAUAGAAGGCUUCAGAGUUCAGUAGUCUGCCCUCGAUGCUCAGAUGAAACUGAAACAGUAGAACAUGUUUUCCAAGACUGCAUCGCUGUAAAAGAUAUAUGGCAACAGUUAGAAAUAACAUGGAAUCAAGAAACAACAUGGUUUGGUUUUAGAUAUUGGUUAAUGGAUAUUAUUUAUACCAUUUCAACACGCAAGUGUAGGAAAGUGUUUUGUGCUCUUUGGGUCAUAUGGACAACAAGGAAUAAAAAGGUGCAUUAGGGGAUUAAGAAAAUCUUCGUAUGAAUCAACUUAUUUCAUACGGGCAUAUCGCAAGGAAAUAAAUGAUAUUGAUAGACAUUUAACCUGUCAAAAGAUUGUGGCGAAAAGAUGGCGCCCACUAAAUCCAGAUUCUAUUAAAAUAAAUUUUGAUGCAACAUUUUAAAAUCACACAAAAGAAUCAUGUUCGAGUUUGGUAUGUAGGAAUUCAGAUGGACAGGUUUUGGGUUCAAGAAUCAGACUUAAUAGAUACAUACUUUUCCCUUUUACGGUUGAAGCAUUGGUUGUCUCUAGGUAGUGCAAAUGGGACACAAUCUAGGAUUUUGAAGAGUGGUAAUUGUAAGGGAUGCUUGUUUGAUUAUUCGAAAACUGUAAAUAGAAUAAGAGGAUAGAUCUACUAUAAGAGCCUACAUCAAGGAUUUGAAGGAACUGAGUAAGAGGUGGUUCGAUAGAUGUAAUUUUGAACAUGCAUCAAGGUAAGCAAAUGGUUGAGCACAUCUCCUUGCUAUAGAAUGAAUAAGAAUAGUGGAGAAUACUUAUCUGGAGGAAGGAAACCUUGGUUUUACAGCCGACAAAGCGGAGCGUGACAGAAUGUGGUAAGGAGAGCCAGCUAAUUUAUAUCAAAAAUAAAAAUAAAUUUUAUUAAACACAUAUUCAACCUGUAAUUAUAUGGUUUUUAGUUCUCUUAUUUAAAAAAUAUAUGAAAGUAUGAAAAUAUUAAAAUACUAUCAUAGUAACAUUAAUUAUCAUUUAUACGAAAUAAAAUAUUAUUUUUUCCCUAAUUGAGGGUAGAGGAUUAACCUCUAACAACAACUCAAUCAAGAAUUCUAUAAUAAGUAUAGAUCAGAAUAUAUUUAAGUAGUUACUUUUGGUAUUUUUCUUAAUAUUUUAAAUAUUAUCUUAUAAAUUUUUUUCAGCAAUUUAAAAAUUACAAGAUACAAAAAAUCAUUUUUUUUCAUUUUUUUAACAAGAGAGACAUUUAAAAUUUAUUGUCAAUUAAUCUCACAAAAGAAGUGAAAGAAAAAAAAAUAUACAAAUCAAGCAAAUAUCCUAAAAAAAAAGAAAAGGAUUAGACGAAAUGGGUAGGUGUGGAUUGUGGGUGAUUUUUUUUUAAAAAAUUUCAAUUGCAACUAAUAAUUAAAAAAAAAAGGUCCACUUUGUGGGCUUCAACCAUUGGAAGGAAAUAGUGGUGGGUUGAUCCCUCACAUUUCCAAGUCUCCAACUGCCACUUCCUUGAAGAAAAAGUAAUACAUGAGAAUUGACGAACAGAAGCCAUUUCUUAGAAAAUAAUUUGGAAAAACACCAACAUUUUAUAUAUGGAAUAACAUUACUCAUUAAUUUGAAGAAUAAAUACAACAAAUUUUAUUUAAUCUUGUAUUCAUAUAAAUUACACACAAUGGAUUUUAAAUGGUUUAAAAAUAUUUCGACUGUAAUUUCAUAUAAAUAUAUGAUUUGGUUUAAAAAAUGUUGACCCAAAUUAAGGGGAAAAAAAGAACAGUUUGGGGGCGUCGGCACUACAUCUUCAUACGCCGCAUUACUAAUUAGACUUAAAAUAGGCAGACACGAUUUAAUUGUCAUAGCAGCCCAUGUCUAGAAACAUAUCUACUUUUCUUUAAUUUUCUAAAUUUUGAUUGAAAUUUUAUACUUUGUUGGAUUUAAAUGUUUAAAUGUUUUUUUAUUACCCAAUAACUAUUUAAUUAAUUUUUUUAAUUUUAAAAUAUUACAUCAAUAAAAUAUUAACGAGAUUAACAAUUAUAUUAUAUUAUAUUAUAUAUUUUUUUACAUAUUUCCAUUUAGGGCUGUGUGUUUCUUCAGUUUGAAUUUAUAUAAUAAAUUGAAUUAAGCAUACAAAUUAAUUAAACCGAACCAAAUUAUAUAUCGAGUAUUCUUACAUAUUUUUUAUAGUUGGGUUUUAACGGAUAUUUGAUAUUUAUAUAUCGAGUAUUUAUUUUGUAAGUAGAUUUUAUCAUGGUAUUAAAAGGAUCAAACAUGUCCGGAUCAAAUUGAAUUUAGACAAUCAUGUAUGAUAUUAAUACCAUACACGAAUCCAACUCAAUCCAUAAAUCAUAUUCCUAAGAAUUCAUAUUUCAAACCAUUUAAAUUAUGAAAAAACACUAAACGUUACCUUAAUUUUAUUGGACCGGGCCUCAUGGUUCUAGGGCCAUUUUCUCAGUGACAGAAGACAUUUGAACAUUGGGCUGGAAUCAGAAGCUGGCCCAAGGAAUGUUAACAAUGUUGAAGGAAUACUCUACAUGCUCAUUUAGUUUUCGAGGUUAGUUUAUGAUUAUCACUCCUAAUAAUUUCGUCUCUGAAAUUCUUGACUAAACUUCUACAAGACCAAGAACCGCCACAAGUCUUGUCUUUUAAUCUACCAAAUAUAUAUAUAUAACAAAUGUAAUAAUAGUAAGAAAAACCUCACAACAUUUCCACCAUUGGAAUCAACAUAUCAACCUUUCACCACAAAACUACCUAUACCAUUUACUUCUCUACUAAAUCAAACACAAAAUGACAAUCACUCCUUUUCAAUCAUUUUCUUCCUUUUCGGAAUCUGAUAAAAAAUUUGUAUUUAAGCUUACAAUUAUUCUACUUCUAAAAUGAAUCCUUGUUUGAAGUGAACAUAAAUCUCAAAUUUCUAACAAGUUUCAUUCAUCUCAAUAAACAGACAGGUUUGAAAAAAAUAAUCCAUUAGUUUAAGCCCUCUAAACAUCAUACAUGUCUUCAACCAUAGUUUAAGUAGAGAGAAUAAAGAUAGAAGGGGCUCAAGGAAAGAGACUUAUUAAGCCAAUCAUAAGUGGGUUGGGUUUAAAAAACAAAAACAAAAGACAAUUACCCUUUGCCUUUGCUUGUAGUUUAUCAUUUCCAUAUUUCUACACCAAUUAAUAUUUUAAACCAACAAUGUGAUUAAAAUUAAUAAAAAUAAAGAAGAAACCAACAAUUUUUUCUUCUUCUUCUUUGACAAACAAAUCAGACAUAACCACCAUUGUCUCUGACAAUACUAACUCUCUUUUUCAAUUUCAUCCCUCCCAACACAAACCCCACACAUUAAAAUCCCCCCCCCCCAAAUUUAAUUACAAAAAAAAUUAAAGGAAAGAAAAGUUAAAUUAUUUUCAUCAAGGAAAAAAAGACCAAAUUCCCAAUAUAAAACCCACACAAUAAUACUAAUUAAUCAAUUUUUAAAAGAGAAAAAAAUUGAAAAAAGAAUUAAAUUGUCACCCUCCUAAUCUUAGCAACCCACAUGUUCCCUUCUCUUUGGCCCUUCAAAUUUUUGUCUUAAGGGGGACCCUACACUAUUAAAAAACAGCAAUUGGGAAACACAUAACAUGAAAAAAACUAGCCCCCCAACCCCCCAUUUGUUAGAUAGCUUUAUUGCAUUUUUAUUUUUAUUUUUAUUUUUAUUUUUUGCACCAAGACCUUCUCACUGCCGUCUCUAGCUCUCUCUAUUUCUCUGAACAACUUAUAGUUGUUCUUCUUUCUUCGUCGGCUGCGGCUGUGAUGGUUGUUGUUGUGGUGGUGCAUGGUGGUUGUUGCUAUUGUUGCUGUUCAUUUUCUUGAGGCUUUGUUGUUGCUGGUACACUUGCCUUAGCCUUUCAAUUUCCUUCUUCAGUGCUUCUUGAUGAGCUGAAAAAUAAAUGUCACAACAAUAGGUAAAUUUUACUGCUUCACAAUGUAUAGAAUCAUUUACUGAAAGUAUAAUAAAAAUAAACAUAUAAAAAAAACCCAAAAAUAAUUUCACUUAAAAAAAGGAAUUAAAAUGUCCUACACAAUAAUUAACAAAGAAAAAAUAGGAAAUUUGGCAUGUAUAUGAAAAUAAAAUAUGCCAUAGACUGUUAUGGCAUGUAUACAAACUAUUGCUUAAUAUUAUAAUGUAUUCUACCAUUCUAUUAAAGGGGAGGGGGGAUUCUAAUUAUCAAAGCAAACAAAGGUUUAUUUGAAAUAAUUUAAAUAUAAUUAACUAAUAAUUUCUUAAACUAGCAAACUAAUAUAUCAUGAUUGAGGUGAAAAAUGGUAAGUAACAUUUAUUGUGUGGCCUAAAUAUAUUAAACCAAUUGAGCUAAAUUCUGAACACAUAUUAUAGUACUAAUUAAUUAUAAUUAAAGAAAGAAAAAACCAAGUCUUACCAUCUUUGAAAAUCUUGUCUUGAGCCAAAGCUGCAAUUCUUUGCUUCAAAGCACUAUUGUCAACAUUGAGAAUCAGUCUUUGAUGAUCCAAGAAUGCAACCCUUGGUGAUAAUGCUGAUACUUCAGUCUUCAUUUUUUUGUAUAUCAAAGAAAAUAAAAUUAAAACAAAUUUGAAGAAAAAAAAAUCAUACACAUAUUGAUGAUAUAUAUUAUCAUAAUUUUGCACCUGUAAUGUUGUGACGCUCCUUUCAAGUUCAGAAAUAUAUUGCAGCUUUCUAACUCUUGAUCUUUGUGCUGAUUGCCGGUUUGCCAGAAUUCUGUUCAUCACCCAAAAUAAAAUUAAAAUAUUUAUAAUGGUGUAAAAAAUGUUGUAUAAUAAUGGGUUUUGAUUUGUUUUACCUCUUAACCCUUUUGGGAUCAACGAUGGGGUCGCCAUUGGAGGUUGAUGGAGGUUGAGCAGCUUGUGGUUCAGGUUUGCAUGAGCUCUCCACUUCUCCUGGUUCGUUCUUGGGCUGCUGCAGAUCCAGGGACGGCACUGGUUUCUCGUCAUUGUUGCUGUUUUGGUCGGACGUCGGAGUGGAAGGGUUGGACGAGGAUAACGUCGGUGCAGCAGCCAUGGUGACGGCUACGUCGUCGGAGAACAUGGACAUGAGCUGUUCGUCGUCGAGACGAUCGAACACAUUGGUUUCCGUUAUCAUGGCAUUGUUGUUGUGGUUGGUGUUGGAGUCCCUGCAUUCCUCCACCAAUGGUUGCUCGAGGAAAGCGAUGGAGUCGCUAAUGGAACGGCGGUGGGCCCCGCGGCGUGCGGAGGAGAAGUCGAGGAACUCGUCGACCCAAGAAGGCUGGUGGUGGUGGGAGGCAUUCAUAGUGGCGGUGUUGGCAGUGGUGGAAAUGAUGUUUGCCAUUGUAGGCAAUCUUUGAUGUGGAAAAGAAGGCCAAUUCUGGGUCAUGUUGGGUACUUUUGGAGGUAAUUGUGCCAUUCUACACCAAUGUCACAAACCCCAAAAACUCAAAAAAUAUAUAUAAAUAAAUAAAAGAGCACGAAAAACAAAGCUAAUCUUAAACUAACCAACAACUAACUAUACAACCAAACACACAAAAAUAUUACACGACACACACAUCUAUCAACUCAAACCCCCAAACCCAAACACCAACAUCAUAUGAUAUAAGUCCUUUGAAGCCAAUGAUAUAAACUUGCGCACUUCUUUCUUUUUCCUUUUUGCAAUGGGGGGAUUUUUUUAUUAAGGGGGAGGGGCAGAGAGAGGUGGGUCACAUGGGGGGAGAUUAGGGACAGCUAGCAACAGCUGGGGGCUUUUUUCCGAUGGGAAAGUCGCAGCGUGAGUUUAAUAACUGGGUGGAAUCAGCACCACCACGUGCCGAUGUGACCCCUUUCAUUGGCCUCAACUAUCUCUAUAUUUUUAUAUUCAAACAUUAUCUUAUAACCUUUCCAACAUAUGGUAUAUGCAUUUGUGUAUUAUAUGCCCUUUUUUUCUAAAUAUAUAUAUUAUGAGCCCUACACAUCCACAAGUUCUUUGAUAUUCGUUUUCAUUGCUGAUGGAUAUCUAUAUAUCACUUGCACACAUAUUUAAUAUAUAUAUUGCUUCUAUAUCUCUAUAUAUCAUCAUUUUUGAAUCCAUAAUCAGGUUAUGUCUCUGAUUGAAUUCACUAAUUUAUUUAAGUUGAAAAAUAUUUUUUUUUAUGGAAAAUUUUGUGUUCAAUUUUAUUUAUAUCAAUUGAGCUCUGCUACAUUAUGAUAAUCAUACUUAUAAAUAUGCCUACACAGGGACUUUACAUUAGCAGUGUAGCCAACAAAUAUAGUCCUUGUUAAAGGAAAAAUUAGAUAUAGGUCCCUUUUGUAGGGAAAAUAUUGAUUGGAAAAAGUUUUACAUAUUCAGAACCAUUCAAUGAAUUAUGGUACCAAAUUGUUGGUAAACCAUUGUUAUUUAAAGUUGCUGAUAAACUUAGGUUACAAGAACAGAAAAUAUCAUCUUUAUAAUGUAUAAAGUUCAUAUAAAUAUACCUUUCAAUAUAUAUAUACAUUAUAACAAUACCUAUAUUAGAAAACAAUAACAAAAAAAGAGAAGCUCACGCUAGUACUAAUAAUUAAAUGGUGAAAAUAUUUGUUAAGUGGAUUCGAUCAAAUUAGUCUAUUUACUAUUAAAAAGAUUAAAUAAAAUUAAUUUAUAAUAAAAUUAAUAUUUACAGUUUAAGAAAUAAUAAAAAUAUUUUAUUUAUAGAAUCAUAAAAUUUUUAAAAUGUUAACUAUAUUAAAUAAUAAAUAACAUUUUAUGAACAAUAAAUGUGAUUUUUUUUUUUUAAAAAUCUGAUGUUGUUUAAUUUUUUUAAUAAUAUUAAAUAUUAUUAUAAUUAAAAGGGUUUCAAGAAAAAAAAUUAUUAAUUUAUUCCAUUUAUAUUCUCUACGUUAGUAAAUGCAUGUGCCUAUAAUUAAGUAUAUGGCAAAUUGGUUACAGAUCAUUGGAAGAAAAUCUAAUAGAAGAAUAUUCAUGGAGGAGAGAUGAAUAUAAAUGUAAGAUGCUUAAUACAUUGCUUUUUUUUUCUUCGUUUAGGGGUUUUACAUGGUUGGUUUCGAAUUUAAAUUAAUUUUGUAUACGGGUUAGUAUUUAAUAUAUUAGUAGUAAAGCAGUUUUUUUUAAAAAAAUUAUGUGUCGUCGAUUGAGUAUUAGUUCAAUUAGCAUCGGCAUUGUUGUCAGUGCAAGAAAAAGUGUGUUUGAGUGUGCUGAAAUAUAUUUUCCUCCCAUUUAAGGGUUAGGGAGGAGAUAUGGGUAAAUUUAAUGCAUAUAGACCUACAUGAAAUAUAAAAUGUAAUAAUUAAUUUAAACGAAUACACAUCACAUAAAAACAGACAAAAACCGAGCUAAGUGAAUUAUAAAAUAUGCAUAUAAUAUAUAUGGGAAAAUAAUAAUACAUAGAGAUUUAAGUAGUGGGAAGAUGUAGGGAAAUUGGGGUAGGGAGAUGAGCUGUGAAAGAAAGGGAACUUGUAAGAAUCAUGUCCUUUCUUCUUCCCCAUGUGAACUGUUUGUAAGAGCCCCCACUCUUUCUUUCCCUUUGCUUUGCUUUGUCCCCAAAUCAGACUCACAUGGUCUCUAAUGUGACCCUUAUUUGUUUUUCCAUUAUUUAUUUAUUUAUUAACUCCCCACUCCUCUCUCUUUCUAUGGUUUCUUGGUAGCUUCCAUCAUCUCAUGUUGGCAUUUAUGUUGGGAUUUUUUUUAAAAAAAAUUAAGGAAGAAACCCUAAUCAUGAUUAGUUAAAAAUAAUAAUCUAAAUAAAUAAGGCAUGAUCAGUAAACCCCUCUGGCAAGUAAAAGUUUGUCUAACAAUUAUUUAAUUUUAUCCAAUUCUUUGUUUUUAAAUAAUUUUGUAACUUAACCACUUUAAUAAUCGCUUAAUCAUACUUUAAUUUAUAUAAAAAGAAUUAUACGAAAACCAAUUAUCGAGGUUGAUAUUUGAAUCUCAAAUUUACUGGAUUCCUAAUUUAUUAUUAUUUUAAUUAAUAAUUAAGAUAAUUAAAAGUAGAGGACCAGCUGGCUUGGAUCAAAUGAUUGAAUAGUGUUGUGAGAGAUUAAGUUAAAUGAAUGCCUUUUCACAUUAUUACAACUACAAAAAUUAAAUACCAUGUUUGCUUUUCUUAUUACACUUUAAAUUUUAUGUCCAAUUUAUUUCUUUUAAUAUAUAUAUACACACAUACAGAGUUAAAUAAGAAAAAAAGAAUGAAUGGAUGAAUAUGAGGUUCUAAAGGUAGGGAAAAUCUGGCAUCAUUUUCAAGCUCUUUUUUUAAAACAAUCAUGAAGUAUAAACAAAAACCAAAUAUUCCAUGAUUUUUUUUUUUAAAGAAAAAGGGAUUUGCAUGUGCAAACCAUGACUUAAUACAGGAUAACAGCAAAUGGUGUUUUUUUUUUGGUUCUAAAUUAUUAAUUUUGGAUAUAAUUGUGGGAUCCCAGAAAUUCUUCAAGUGCCGUACAGAAGAGGAUGGAAGAGGGAGAGAGAUAAGGACUACUAUAAUGGAGAUGAUGAGGAAGGAGAAGGAGAAGGAGAAGGAGAAGGAGAAGCAAGCAUUAUUGUAGGUGGAUGGAGCAAAUUUAGAUUUAAAUAGGACCAAAUUUUUCUAAACACAUAAUCACGAGUUUAUUAGCUUUAAAUUAUUUACAUUUUUACUGCUGUUUCAAUAAUAUAAAAUUAAAUUCAACAUUUAAAAAGUUUAAUUUAUUAUUUGUUUAAAUUAUUUAAAAUAUUAUUUAAUAAAUUAGUGAGUAAUAUUAGUGUAACAUAAAUACAGUAAGGGCCUACUUGGUCUUUUCAGGUAAUAAUGAAAAGCCUUAGAAAAGGGGACGCGUAAACACGUUGCAGUAAAGUAAUAAAUUAAAAAUAUAAAAGUUAAGACUUCAGAGGUGGUGACCACUUUUGUACAGUUACAUCCAUUUGCAGUUUAGCCUUGUGAUUUUAUUCCAUUUAUAUUAUUUAUAAAAUUAAAAAAAUCAUAGAUGUUGAGUUCUAACCUGUUUAUUUUUUAAAAAAUUAUUUCUAUAAGAUGAUACCAACAGAGUAAAUUUAUUUAAGUUUUAAAAAUGAUGAUAAGAUGGAAAUUAUUAAAUUAAAUUUAUUGAAGUGGUUGUUUUUCAAGUUUAAAAUAUUAGUUAAUUUACGACGUAUUUUUUAAUAGAUUCGAACUUUUUGGAGUUGAGUUGUCAUAUUAUUUUCGAUUGUACCUUGAAUCACACCUCCUAGAAGUUCGGUUGUAUUUGUUGGAAAACAAAUAGAAUAAAUUAGUUUGGAAUUGUUAAAGUCCUUCUGUUAGCAUGUUUGACUUUUAAUUAAAUCUCGUUAAGCAGUAAAUGUGGGGAUAUUUCAUGAUCAAUCUUUUAUUUAUACGUAAGAAUGCUUAAAAGAGUGAUUUAUAAUGAUUUAGGUUUGACUUUCGAACUGCAAUUAUCCAUUAUAAAAGAAUAGAUUGAAUUUAAACCAAUAAUUAUAUAGGAUACAUUUAUGCCAUUCGGAAACCCAUCAACCAAGAUUGCACUGUUAGAUAAUUGAUCAAAUAAAACCCAUGAAUUCGAUUCCCCCAAAAUUCAAUCGAUAGAACUCCACCAAUCACUUUCUUAAGACAUCUAGUUCAAGAAUCUCAAUAUCUUCCUCCUUUCUCAGGGCCAACAUUACCUCCAAUAGAGUUCAUCAAAUUUUCUUUCUCCCCCAUUGAGUUAAUGGCCACACCCCUACUAUUAUAUAUUAUGGUUCUUCCUUGUUCGGUCACUAAUCCCUGGUAAGUUCGGUGCAUUAUAAGGCGUGUAAUGUGUUUUUCAUGUAAUUACAAUUAAUUAUGAGUAAACUAUAAAAAUAGUCACUUUUGUUUGCAUCAGAUUACAUUUUAGUUAUUUAUGUUUGAAAUGUUACGUUUUAAUUACUUACGUUAUUGUUUUGUCACGAAGUGGUCACUCUACCGUUAAACUUCAUUACCUCCCUAACGGCAGUCCUACUUGGCAGUCCAAAUGGGUUUUAAAUGCCAACUUGGAUGUCCAAUAGUUGAGAUGAAAAUAUGCUUUUAAUCAAAUAAAUUUAAUUUGAACUGCCACGUAGGACCGCCAUUAGGGAGGUAACGGAGCUUAAUGGUAGAGUGACCACAUCGUAACAAAACGACAACGUAAGUGACUAAAACGUAACAUUUUAAACAUAAAUGACUAAAAUGUAAUCUAAGACAAACAAAAGUGACACUUUUUAUAGUUUAUCCAUUAAUGAUUGGUUUGAGGGGGUUUAAAAGUAAUUUAAAAAUGUAUAAAUAUUCAUUUACCGUCAAAGUGAGCACAAAUAACUUGAAUAAAAAAGAGUCAAACUGAGUUAGAAAAUUAAAUUACAAGCAUAAUUAAAAAUAGAGACUACUGUUUUUUUAUAGGGGUGAUUUAUUUGAAGAAAAUUAUUUUAUUUAUAUAUUUAAUACUAUAUUUAUUAUUUUUAAAAUGGUUUUAAUUAUUUAUAAUUAUUUUAAGCAUUUUAUUAAGUUUGGCCACGAGUCAAUUGAGAACCGGCUCAUUUAUGAAAUUACUAAAAUGUCCUCUCACAUACAAAUUAAGUUUUAUUUUAUAUAAUAUUAAUAAUAAAUCAAUAAAAAUGUGAUCAUAAUGAGAUUUGAACCCUAAACAAAAUGAUAAUUAAUUAAUUUUAACGUGAAUUUUUAAUAAAUAUAUUUGUUACAUAAUUCCAUUUCACCCACACGGUCAAUGCGCCAUAAAUCUAGUUUUGCUAAUUGAGUUAGAGCUAGUUUAACUCGUGACACCAACUUAGUCAAACAUUUUAUAAUAAUUUAUAGUGUAGCUUAAAUUAAUGAAAUGUCCUAUUUGUAUUUAUAUGUACUAUUAUUUUUUCUAACAUUCUUAUUAGUUUGUGACACUAACUCAAUAAAAGAAUUUUAAUAAUAAUAUAAAAACAUAAUAAGAAAUUUAGCCUCUAAAAUUUACCUCUUUCGUCACUUUAGUCCUAAUUCUUUUUCUAAUUACUUCGGUCCUCAACUUUUAGUCAAAUUAUUUUUUUAAUGAAAAAAUUAGCUGAACUGUUAACAUUUUAACAAUACUGACUUGAUAACUUGUACAAUAAUUCACGUAUAAUUCAUAAAAUAAUUUUUUUUCAAAGUGAUUCAUAUCAACAAUGAAUUCACGUGAAUCAAAAUUUUUCUUAAAAACAAAGUAAUUUGAUAAAAUUAUGAUGGUUGAGUGGAACCUGAAAAACAAAGGUAAAUUAGGAGUUGAAAGCUGAAAGAUGAAAAGAUGGAAUUUGGAAGUCUGAAAUCACAUUAAUUAUACAUAAGAAAAAAGGCCCACCGGCAAAGUAGGAAUCUAAGAACAAAUAGAUUAAGACUAACGAUUUUAUGAAAUGUAUCAGUAAAAGUUGAAAUUAUUUUAUGAAUGGUCCAGGGUGUGUGUGAGUCAUCAUGGAUAUUUGGGGGCUUGACCACUGACCAAUUUUUAUGGUCGGUCCCCCUUGGGGCUUUAGGAUUCUGGCGACCCUAAUAUGGAACCAUCCUUAGCCAGGGUGCAGCAGGCUAAGGAACCAACUUGGACCACGACUUGUAGGCUUUGUUAUGAUAGGGGGGACUCGAUUGAGUCAAAUAUAUAACCAUUUCAGUAAUUGUAGUUGAAAAGAUGAAUCUAGUAUUUGGUAUUGGUACGUCUUUAAUUAAAUUAGAUUAUGGCAUGCAGGUGAAAAAUAUAAUUAUAAAGUAAAUAUAUUUAUACAAAAUUGAUAUAAAUUUUUUUUUUUCUAAUUUAGACCACAAAAUCGACUAAAAGUUAUGAAAAUCUUUGCUAUGAGUAUUGAAUACAUUUUUAAAUUAAGUUAAAGUAUUUAAAAUGUUAAAAUAUGCUAUAAGUUUUUUGUCAUAAGCUCCAUAACAAAGGCUUUAUUCUCAACAUCAUUAAAAUAUUACGACACGUUGAUAAUCAACUUUGUCACAACUCAAGUACGAUAUAUCUAGAGUGAUUGCAAACAACUAUCAUGAUAAAAAAAAUCAAUCUUGGAUGGUUCAAAGCGGAGGGCGAGCAAAUUUGGCAAAAGUAUCGAGCAUACAUCAAAUUGGAGAGGACGAAACAAAAUCAUCUCUAAAAUCACAUGCAAAAACAAGACUACAUGCAUAAACAAGACUAAAAAAUGUGCUCCAAGAACAGAAAAAAAAAAAACUUUCUAAAAGUAAAGACUUAUUAAGUAAUGAAAUAUAAACAAACAAAAAAACUCAAGACGACACAGGUUUAAACCGACUCGUGAAAUCAUUUAUUAUUCUGAAAUACUUUCAAAAUAAAAAUAGAUUAAGAAGUCGACGAAUACCCACCCACUUUCCAAGAGAAACUGAUGGUGGCUAGUGGAGUUUCAGCGACAACAGACACCAUCAUUUGUCCAUCACAAUUUGUGAAGACAACAAAGAUACUCACAAAAUAGAUCUGUAAACUGGAAAGAGAAAACAUAUUGAGUGAAUGGGGAAAAAAGAAAGAAAGAGAGGGUUGGUUGUGGAGAGAGAAAAAAUGUGAGUGAUAGCCAGCUUGAAGGCUAACACUGCCGUUAGGCAAAAUAAGGAGAAGAAACAAACUAUUUGAAAAAAAAAAUUGUUUUUAUGAGAUUCAUUUUUAACUUAAUUUAAUUACAUUAUACAACAUUUUAAUUAUGUGAUUUCAAUUUAAUUUAAUCACAUUAUAUAAUAACUAAUUUAAUUACCAUAUUAUAUUUCACUGACAUCAUAUAACAAUUUCAUUUAAAUUAAUUUAGGAAUAAAAUAUAAAUAUAACAUUUAUUUUUAAAAAAUAGGAAAAAGAAGUAAUCUGAUUUUAUUUUUUUGUUUAUUAUAUAUAUAUGAUAACAUAUGCAUAUGCAUAUCAUAUAUAUACUAAAAUAAAAUUUUUGAAUAAUUUUAAUAACAAUUAUUUGUAAACUAAUUAUAAAAUAUUUGUCACCUAUCACUAACACAUCAGCAUGGUUUAAUUUUAUAAUCAAAUUAUUAGUAAAAAAUUAUAAAAAUUAAAUAAAUUCAUAAUAAUAAUUAAAUGUAUAAUUAAUACAUACAUUAACCCGUAUAUUAGUUGAAUAUGCAAAUUAGUUUAAUUAUAUAAGACGAUAAAACCAAUUUUAUUGAAAAGACACCUUGCAAGCCCAAAAAAAAAAGGAAAAAAUAGUUUAGUUGUUGGCUUUUUUUUUUUUAAUUAAGUUUGGUAAAUCAUGAUUUUAACUAUGGAAAUAUUUUACAUAUUUAAUGUAUUACAUUUAUUAUGAAUCUUGUUAAAUAUUUUUUUGGGCUUAUUUGUCAGAGGAAAUUUUUUUUAAGUUAGUAUUUAAUAUUUUCUUAAAAAUUUUAAAGUUCAAGUCUUAAUGUGAGAAUAAUAUCGAGUUCAAGGAUUUUGUACAAUUGUCUAGUUUAGGCUCUAAUAUAGAAACAAUUGUCAAGUUUAAGGACUAGCUUACACAAAAAAAAUUAAACCCUAAUAUGAAAGUUACCCAAAAAUAUUGUUGCCGAGUUUAUGCUUAAAUUGUGAUUUAACCCUUAUUUUUAAUUUCAAAAGUUGCAUCAACAAGAAUAUUAAAACCAAACAGGUCAAUAAGUUUGGCCUAGAUUCAAGACGCUAAUUUCGUUGUUGCUAUAAAUUUUACUUUCCUCUUGUAACUAAAAAAAAGAAGACCGAGGUGGGUCACAGUUAGGGCAUAGUUAAUAUGGUUUGGUAGGCAAGUCUUUCAAGAUGUAGAAUAGAUCCAAGGCUUUUUUUAGCAAGAGUUAAAAGGCUCAAAUCCACCUCUGCAUUGUCUAAGAGACUGGGUGAGGUCAAAGUCAACUAUUGGACCAAAUUUAUUUACAUCCCAGAUUUAUAUUUCUCAAAAAAAUCUUUUAAAUAUUUCCCCCAAAAAAUCAAAAGAGAACCUUAUGAAAAUCUGGUUUGAAAAAAGAUUAAUGGUGUGUUUAUUUAAGAAAAUGAAUUACGAAAUUUUAUUUUUAAUUUUUUGCAUUUUUUAUAUUCGUUUUAUAUAAAUGAUUUCAAUUAACAAUAGUUUUUAAUUUUAAAUAAUAUUCUUAAUAUUUUAUUAAAAAUUUAUAUUAAUAAUUAUAAAUAUAUAGUAAUAAAUGUUCUAUAAUAUAAGAAAAUUUUCCUAUCAAUUUCUGGAAAAAUCAUUUUUCUAAAGAGUGAAACAAACGAGUUCAAAAAUUUUUCAAUUCUUUUCUUGUUUUUAUAUGUAUAUAGAGAUGCAAAUCAGAUUUUCCGGUAGAUAUCACUUGUUUGUGUUGUCUUUUUCAUCGAUUUUUGGAUGAUGUAGCACUUGUCUUCUUGUAUUAAACCUGCUAAAAUAUCAACCACACCUUUAUCUAAAACUCAUCCAGCUUCUAUAUAUUUUCUUUUCUAAUUUUCUCAGAUAUGUUGGACAAAGAUAUCACAGGGAUAUUUUAAGAAAAACCAAGAGACUAUGUUACAUAAUAUAUACAUAUAUUAUUUCAUAUCAUGCCAAUCACAGUUUGUACAUUCGUAUAUAGUCCAUAGCACAUUCAUAAGAGCUAAGGAACAAUGAUAUCGCCCCUCCCACCUUUUCCUAACCCUGUGAGAUGACAUACCUUUUUUUGCGUAUUCCGUGUAUGUACGUACUUACUUGCUAACUAUAUCAGAGCUGAGGCCCGAGGUUAAUGUUUGAAUAUCAACUCAACCAUGGUGGCUUUCUCACCCACUCUUAUUUCCAUUCUGCAAAUCAUUGCUUUUAACAUCCGUUUUGUCGUGAGAAAAAUGGGAUUUCAGCCCUAUCCAACACUGGUAAUAAUCGAGAUCCCUGAAGUGGGAGUCAAGAGCCCAUGGACAGGUUCUAGGCAUUAAACAUGAUUCAAACAUAAAGGCCAUUGUAUCAGUGAUCUUGUGAGGUCCGGCCUCAUUUCCACGUGCAACAGUGGCCUGCAAAUCAAAAGAGUUGUCAGAACAGACUAGUGAUCCUAAGAGGGGUCAGUUCCGAAUAAUAAACGGGCAUUGUCAACUAAUUAACAGGACUGGGUAGACUUAUUAGCUUUGGGUAUUCCUAGCCCUAAAACUUCAUGGUAAUCGACUACCCGAUCAGACAACCCGAAGAACAAAAAUGGCAUAAUGGAAAUUGACUUGCGACCCCAAUGUUGUGCUCAAGAUAAUUACCUCAUAUGUCUUGGUGUCAGGACCAUGAGGAGUCAUGCAGCUGUGAAGGCUAGCACCACCAGGCAGAAAACCAUCAGCUUUUGCCUGAAACCAAUACAUGGUAGCCAAAAUUCUCAAUCAGAAAACUUAAGUAAGGCUGAUUUUUAUUUUCAAAGCCAACGUCGAUAUCAAUGGGGAUGCAACCAUAUAAUUCAGUGUUCCACUAGAAACAUGCUUUAACUUUAUCAACGAAAAAGAAAAUAGCCAGAAUGUGAUAGGACUCACCUCAUAUCCACCAUAUAUUAGGCCCAUAAAUUCACUCAUGCAAUUGCGAUGGUAAUAUGGAGGUCUGAAUGUAUGUUCAGCAACCAACCAUCGGGGAGGGAAAAUGACAAAAUCAAGCAAUGCCACACCCGGUUUAUCAGUUGGUGCCGUCAGAACUGCAAGAUAUUGCUCAAAUAAAAUGUAGAUAAUUUAAGUACAAGUACAAUUGAACCCCAAAAGUCUUAGGAGAAAUACUAUGUGAAGACAGAGAUCAUCUCGCAGCAUACCUGUAUUUAUUGAUGGAUCACCAUGAUCGAUUAAAACAGUAUUGUAAGGGCAGAACUUGCUAAGAUCAUACUGAAUCCAACAUUUUCAAUAAAAUCAGAUUGCUCGAAUGGAUCAUAGUCAAAAUCUUAUAGUUUUUAAUUAUUUUAGUUUGAAGGUUGAUUGCACCCACCUUAUAUGGGACAUAAUUACCAUGCCAGGCAACCACAUUGAAAGGAGAAAAAUCUUGUCUUGCAUUGAAAAGUUCUCCUCCAAACUUUUGUAUAAUAGUAAACCCUGGUCGGGGGCAAUCCUCAAACCAGGCUGUGGGAGCAAGGAAGUCCCUUGAAGCAGCAAGACCAUUAGCACCUACACAAGAUGAAAAUCAUACGCUAAGGGCAUAUCUAUCCAACAUGAUCAAUAAAGUGACUUAUUUUUAACGGUACGCGGACAACAAAAUAUUAUACUUCAUUCGCUCAUAGGCCACAUUUGAACAAGAGAUUAGGUACCUAUAGGACCAAGAUCAGGAAGUUGAAAAUGGGUACCAAAAACUUCAGCAACAUAACCACGUGAUGGGCCAUCAGGCAAAUCUACAACAAAGCGGAAGCCUUGGGGUAAGACAACAAUUUCACCAGGAGACACCUGCAAUCUUCCGCAUUCGGUAGUGAUCCAUAGCCCUGUAAUCAGAAACGCAGUUCUUUAGUAUGCAUAUUCCUUUGUGACAAAAAGAGUUUUAAGUUAACCAGUACUCCAUGUAAUACUUGCUCAUAAAUGAACAAGAAGUUUUAAAGAAAACACAUAUCCAUGCCCCAAAAGGAAAUCUAAGACUCCAAACAAGCAAAAAAAUAAACUUUUUUUCAAAGAUAAAAGGAUUUUAACUUACUUCCUUGCUGGGGAACUACCAAAAAAUCACCAUCUGCAUUGCAGAAGGCACAAUUGUCCAUUGAUUUGUUGGCAGUAUACCUACAUGUGACGAAAAUUUUAUUACCUCCUUCAUGCAUACCUUUAAGCUAAACAAUUGAGCACAACCCGACUCUCCUAGCACAGGAUCAAUGCAACAAAAGUUCUUUCUGAAUGCAUGAAAGAGACACAAGAUAGUAAUGGUGGUGAAACUCAUCUCAACCGUGCACAUGAACAAUUUGGUGAACAUAUCGAGCCAAAAUUUAAAUUGCAAACAAACCCAGCUCACACUACUUUCGUUUCAGUAAUGAAAAAAGUUACUACAGUAACCUGCCCAUAAUUCUUAGAUAGCAGGUGUAUUAAGCAGUUAUGAUCAGAUUCAUCAUUCGUGUAAAAAAUGAAAUGACAACUAAAAUACCAAUUACAUGUGAAUAGCAAAUCCAUGGCGAAGGAAUGAGCUGCCAGCUCCACAUAUAGUGUAUAAACCAUCAAUAAAAUCCGUCGGCGAAUCAGGAAUAUCCACAGGCUUCCACCGGAGCUGAGUCGGGUUUGCUACCGUGUUGGACCCAUCAAAUUCACUCACAAGCUUUUUAUGACUCGGUUCACGAGGCCAAAACGGCUCGUGAGUAACCGAUGGUUUGAUUCUAUAGAACCAACUAUUAACACAAAAAAUUCAAAAAAAAAGAAAGAAGAAGAAGACAAAAUCAAUAACAGGAACACUAAACAAUUUUCCUUUAAUCAAAAUUUAAAAUAAAAUUGAAUUUACUAAAAAUUCAACCGAAUUAUCAUAUACACUGCUAGUCAAAUUUUUAACACUACUAAAAAAAUUAUUUAAAAAUCUGAAAAAAGAAAAACACCUGCGUUGACUAAGCUUCCGAGGAGAAGUAAAGGAAGUGCCGGAGAUCUGCUCAGCAUAGAGUCCAAAUGGGCAAAUAAGAGGACUAUUUUGGCCACGUGGCAGAGAUCCGGCGAUCGCUUCCGAUUCAAAAUGAUUGCCAAAUCCUGAAUGAUACUCCAAAUCAUCGGGAAAACGCCCCCAACCGUCGCCUUUUAUAACUUCCGUAGCCGGUUUCUCCAUCUUUCUCGGUUUUUUUUUUUUUAAAAUUUUGCCCCCCUUAUUUUGUACGGGUAAAUCUAUGAAAGACAAAGAGCUAAAUGAUAUAAGAGCAAGAGAUUGAGAUCAAGAGGUCGACGUGGCAGUUUCAUCGGCUGCAGAGUCGUGCUGUCCUAAGCAACCUUUUUUGUCUUAUAAUUCAAGAACUGAAUGUUAGUCAAUUAACAUAUAAUUGGCAAAGGUCAAUUCCAUUAACAUCUCAAAUUAUCCUUCAAAUUUCAUUUACUUCCUAAACUUUAAAAUGCUUUUGAUUCAAUCUUUUCAUUAGUUUAGUUAUUGGUUAAAAUAUGCCAUAACUCCCUAUACUUUUCAAAAAAUUAGAAUUUUGUUUUUAUCUUUUUAUUUUCAAGUAUUUAGUUCGUCUAUUUUUCAAACUUUAAGUCCAACUAUUAUCACUUUUAAUUUUUUUUGUUAAAUUUAGACUCAUUAUAAUGUUGUUAUUUUAGUUACAUGAUUAUCAAGUGAAUAUUUUUAUUUCAAAAUGUUACACCAACAAAUUUAACAAGAAAAAAGUUGAGAGUGUUAACCGUUGAACUUGAAUUUGAAAAGCAGAGAGAUUAAAAUUUUUAAAAUAAAAAUACAAUGACUACAUUUUAUAUUUUCAAAGAGUACAUAAAUUUAUGAAAUAUUUCAACCUUAGUACUUUGAGGACUCAUAUACAAUUUUUUAAAAAUUUGAGGAUGAAUUUAAAAUAAUUAAGAUGUGAGAUGCGAUCUUUUUCCAACUUUUUAUCUUCUUUAUCGACAAAAUUUAAAAUCGGGUUACAAAAAUAGGGGCCCAACAACAAAUCCAAUUUCCUGACCCGACCCGAGCCGACAUGUACGCCCUCCUCCUAAAUCUAAGCCCACUUUUUCUUUUCUUUCUUUCUUUUUUUAAAUAUCUUAUUACAAUUUCAAAAUCGAUGCCACCGAUCUCUGCCACUUGAUAAAAUUUUCCUCAUAAAUUCAAAUCUUUAUUUUUUUUCAAGAUCCGAUAGAAGAACCCGACCUGGUGAUCCGAAAUGGCGGCGUAUAGAGCAGAUGACGACUACGACUAUUUGUUCAAGCUAGUAUUGAUCGGAGAUUCGGGGGUUGGGAAAUCGAACUUGUUGUCGAGAUUCACGAAAAACGAGUUUAAUCUGGAGUCAAAAUCCACAAUCGGAGUAGAAUUUGCUACCCGAAGUAUUCGGGUCGAUGAUAAGGUCGUUAAGGCCCAGAUUUGGGACACCGCUGGACAAGAAAGGUAUGGUUUUUUUCAACUUUUUUUUUAUACAUUUUAUUAGUACUCUUUUUUUUUUUAAAUCAUUUUAUAAAAAUGUAGUGUUCUUUGAGUUGAUACGUCGGAUUGGUAGAAUGGGUAUUUGGGAUUUUGUAUUUUUGGAGCUGUUUAGUAGCUGAGGAAAUGUGGUAGAAUUAUAUUCAAGUAGUUCUUAUCUUAUUGCUUGUCUUUUUCUGUAUUUUCUUUUUGGAUUUUGGGGUAAUUUUUCUAACUUUUUAGUGAUUUGAGGAAAAGAAGCUGCUUCUAGACUACAGUAUUUGGUUUGGUGAAGUAAGUAAUGAGAUUUCUUUUUUCUUUGUUUUGGAUUGCUUGGUUGCUACGAAAAUGUGGGUGCCAGGUGCAUUCAGAAAAUUUCCUUUUAAUGUUAAAGCAUGUGGUCUUGGCUUUUGGUUAUUUAGUGAAAAGUAGAUAUUUUAUUUUCCUUGGAUUGCUGUAUUUGAUGUAAAUUUUAAGCAUAUGCGAAAGGCGAAUUGUCUUGAUUAGUUAGCAUAUAUACCAUAAGCUACUUAAAAUAUGUACAUUUGGGUCUAAGUGAUAAUGUUACAGCUUGAUUAACUGAUGAAAAGGUGGAAUUAAACCUACUGUUUAUAGAAGUCCUAGUUGAAUCAUCAACUAUACAUCUUUAGAAUAUAGGUUCAUUGAAGAGGAUAUCAUCUGUAUAUCCGAUCUAUAGAUCGUUUUACUUUUCAUCAUUCAUUUUAGAAGGAUAUGAUUGUUAUCAGUUCUAUAUGUUAACCUUGUUCUAGUCUUGAAGUUCUUUACGAUGUCCAUAAAUUUAGGACAUUGUUGUAAUUAAUAUCUGUGAACUUUGAAGCUUGGAUUUAUGUGAAAAACAUCACAUGCCUUCAGAGGGCAUGUUUUCUAUUAUUCUUUAGCUCUCUGUAUCAAGCGCGAGUCUAAGAAGGGGCUGGUGUUGCAUACUUUGAUGAUUUACGAUAGAUGCAUAGAUAAUGUUUGGUGCCUGAGUUUCCGGUUGCUGUGCAACAUUUUAUUUUAAUUGCGCAAUCAAAACUUUUUUAUUGCCAUGACUUAGUCAAGGGGGAUUAUGAUGAUAUGAACUCGAUAGAAGAUUGUGAAUUGCCUAGUAUAAGAAAUCGAUGCCUUUGCUUGAGAGGCAUUAAACAAGGCUUGCCCAAGGGUAAGGUUUUAUUGGUGUGAAAAGGAAAUAUAAAUAGUUCUUCUACCUACAUUUAAAUUGUGAAUGCUUAAUAUACAGUUUCUGCUACAAAUAGAUGUGUUUUAUAUGCUUUUUGAGACUUGUUUUCUUGUUAUAUUCUUUCCAAAUUAAGAUACCGGGCGAUUACAAGUGCGUACUACCGAGGAGCUGUUGGUGCAUUGCUUGUCUAUGAUGUCACUCGACACAUCACAUUUGAGAAUGUCGAGAGAUGGUUGAAGGAACUACGGGAUCACACGGACUCCAAUAUCGUGAUUAUGCUCGUUGGUAACAAGGCAGACCUACGACACUUGCGUGCCGUUUCCACCGAGGAAGCUAAGGCCUUCGCCGAGAGAGAGAAAACCUACUUUAUGGAGACAUCUGCCCUCGAGUCCCUGAAUGUAGAGAAUGCAUUCACUGAAGUACUAACUCAAAUAUACCAUGUGGUAAGUCGAAAAGCACUCGAAGUAGGGGAUGAUCCUGCAGCAUUGCCAAAGGGACAAACCAUCAAUGUCGGCAAGGACGAUGUUUCAGCCCUCAAGAAAAUCGGCUGCUGUUCUGCUUAACUGUCAGAUGAUUUUGAGUGUCGAAGUUCCCCCCUCAAAAUUUUUAUCUCAUUAACCCCCCCCCCCCCCCAAAAAAAAAAAAAAAGAAAAGAAAAUCCUUACUAGGUUUGAUAUCAGUUCCUUUUUCAUGGUUCUUUUAGGGUAUCUUAUUUCCUCAUGCAAUCUUGCAGUUCAUAGUUCUGAUGUUGUAUUUGAUCACUUUAGAAUAGUUUGAUCAGACAAGGUUUAGUUUUGUACUUUAAAAUAAUUUUCAUUUGUCAUGGAUGAUAAAAUUUGAAUUACCUAAUUAUUAUUUAUCUAUUUUUUCCCCAAGACCCGUAAUCUUCAAAAUUUUGUUAACAAUGUAAUAUCUAAUAUGCAUGCUAUCUGAAAUGAAUGUGUAAAUUAUAUUUAUUUCCCCUCUUUUCCUUCUUUCUCCUUUGUUUAUUUCCUUUUUUUUCUAACGUUUAUUUUCCUUCUUUGUCUUCUGUUUUCUCUCGUCUGUCUUUCUCCUCUUCUUGUCCUCGAAGAAAUAUGAUAGAAAAGAAGGAAAGCAGAGAGAAGACAGAGAGCAGAAAAGAAUCUAGGAGAAAGUCAAUAGAUUGAUCAAAAUUCAGAGUUGUUUUUCUCGUGUACAACCACCUCCCUUUUUUAGCUGAAAUGAAAAGAAACUAGUUUCAGCCACUGGAAGACUAAAACAAAACGCACCGUAUAACCAAAGAACAAAAAGACCCCUUUAGCUAUUUGAUUAAACCCACCGUUUUGACUUCCUACCCAUUAUUUCUGCAACAGAAAUAACAGAAACUUAACUUCUCUCCCUAACCACCCACACUUUUUAUCCCGUAACACAAAUCCAUCGCUCCCCACAUUUCUUCCCCGAUUCUCACACACUCUCUUCAAUUUUUUCCUCUCAUUUUUUUCUAGUUUUGGGUAACCAAAGGCCAAAAACACACACACCCUACACUAGAGUGUAGAAGAUAGUUUUUGCACGAGAGAGAAGUCUUAGAGCACGUUUGGUUGGGGUGAAUAGAAUAGAGAUGUAUUAGAACAGAGCUGUAAUUAGUAAUUCAAGUGUUUGGUUCAGUUGAAUGGAAUAAAGCUGUAAUAGUAUUCUUGUGUUUGGUUGAAUAGAAUAAAUAUUGUAAUAACAUAAGAAAAAGGACUUAAAUGACCAAAUUACCUUUAGUAGAAAUUUUUUAGAUAGAUGAUUAUUGUUAUUGUUAUUAAAUUUUAAUAAGAUUAUUACUAAAUAUAAUUUAAUAAAAAUAAUGAUAAAUAAUUUAAUCAUAUUUUAACAUAAUUAUUAUUAAAUACUGUUAGGGAUCGUCCCGAUUAAAGCAACAAGUAACAAAAAUAGCGGAAUAAAUUGAGAAAUUGAACACACAAAUUUAACGUGGAAAAACUCCUCCAAAGAGGAUAAAAAACCAUGGGCAAAGAUAAUUUUACUAUAAUGGCAAAAGAACGAAGAGUACAAAAGAUGGAGAUAAAAACUAAACCCUGAAAACCCAAAAACAAAGAACUCUCAAAACGUAAACACAAAAUUCUCUAAAUGUGUUAUGAGUUCUAAUCUCUAAUGGGUGUUUUUACUAAGGUUGUGAAAGAGCCUAUUUAUAGGUUAAAUUCAUAUGUCAAAUAAUAAUAAAAUAAUCUAAACUAAUCAGUAUUUGACUGAAACAAAUAAACAAAAUUCAACUAAAAGAUUAUUUCUCAAAUUUGACUGAAAAUAUGAGUCAUAUUUAACAAAUCUCCACCUUGACUCAUAUUUCCACAACGCCAUUUUUGCCAAAGCUCGCCACGAGCUUAGCUUGAACUAUGCAGGGAAUCAACUGAGUCGAAUCUGUGCUUAGAAACUGGAAGACUUCUAGCCUUCGACUUGUACACUGCCAAAUCAAAACUAACCCGGGUCUGAUUUUCACGAACACAAUGCCCUAACUUUUCAAAACCUGCAUCCAAAAGAGAACCUCUCUUCAACGAAACGGUCAUACAUUUUUCCCUCCUAUGACCAAGUUGCCUCCGCUCUAAACGAGUUGACUUCGACUCUGUAACGGACGAGGGACGUCCGAUUUCACCGGUCACUGUAGAACCUUCCAGAAUAUAAAGACUGCCAGUUCUUUUACCUUUUAACAAAACGAGAGCUCCACGAGAUACUUUAAUGCCGCUUGGCUCGAUGUUGAUUCUACAUCCUUUCAAGUCUAAAAUACUCAAGGAGAUGAGAUUCUUUCGUAAAUCAGGUACAUACCUACAUCUGAGAGUGUCCUAAUCGUCCCAUCGUGUAUCCUAAUUUUAACAGUACCAAUACCAAUUACCUAACUAGAUGAAUCGUUUCCCAUGCCAUGCCAUGCGCACAAUGCGCACAACUCUACCUUCAAUUGAACUGAAUGUAGAGAACCAUUCUCUAUUGGGAGACAUGUGGAAAGAACAUCCCGAAUCUAGGAUCCACUCGGACGUGAGCUUGGAGUUAUCGCUCGUUGACACUAACAAGAAAUCAUCACGGCUUUCAUCAAUCAAAUUAACACCAGCUACAUCUUCCUCGUUACUCUCAGCAGCUUUUUUAUUUCGCAGUUUAUAACAAUCUGCUUUGACGUGACCUAACUUUUUACAAUAGCGACACCUUUUGUCUCGUUUCUUUGAUGCCAUCAAAACGGAAGCUUGUCUAUUUGCCUUGCUAUCCAAAUGAAGCUCAUUGUCAAGUUUGUCUCUAUUCAACAAAUGACACUUCACAUCUUCGAACGAGAGUUUGUCUCUGCCAUAAAUCAAGGUCUCCCUAAAAGACUUGUAUGAAGGGGGUAAAGAGCGCAAUAAUAGCAUAGCUUGAUCUUCAUCAUCAAUAUGAACCUCAACGUUCUUUAGAUCAUUUAAAAGAGUAAUGAAUUGACGAUGUGAUCUCUAAGAAGCUCACAUUCGUUCAUGCAAAAUGUAAAUAGAUGUUGUUUCAACACUAAAUGAUUAGCCAGAGACUUAGUCGCAUAAAGAGUUUCUAACCUUUUCCACAAGGUGAAUGAGGUCUUCUCCAUCAAUACCUUCUGCAAUACCGUAUUCGAGAGGCACAACUGGAUUGCAGACAAGGCCUUUUCAUCAAGCUCUUCCCAUUCUGUUUUAUUUAGAUUUUCAAGCUUUUUCCUGGUAACAACCUUUUUCAAACCGAAUUGAACUAGAAUUGCUAUCAUCCGAACUUGCCACAGAUUGAAAUUUGUCUCACCAUCGAACUUCUCAAUUUUAAACCUUGUUGUUGCCAUAUCUGAAUGGGCUGAUCUUUGAACUAGCUCUGAUACCACUUGUUAGGGAUUGUCCCGAUUAAAGCAACAAGUAACAAAAAUAGCGGAAUAAAUUAAGAAAUUGAACACACAAAUUUAACGUGGAAAAACCCCUUCAAAGAGGAUAAAAAACUACCGGCAAAGAUAAUUUUACUAUAAUGGCAAAAGAACGAAGAGUACAAAAGAUGGAGAUAAAAACUAAACCCCGAAAACCCAAAAACAAAGAACUCUCAAAACGUAAACACAAAAUUCUCUAAAUGUGUUAUGAGUUCUAAUCUCUAAUGGGUGUUUUUACUAAGGUUGUGAAAGAGCCUAUUUAUAGGCUAAAUUCAUAUGUCAAAUAAUAAUAAAAUAAUCUAAACUAAUCAAUUUUUGACUGAAACAAAUAAACAGAGUUUAACUAAAAGAUUAUUUCUCAAAUUUGACUAAAAAUAGGAGUCAUACUUAACAAAUACAAUUUAAUAAAAUAAUAUAUAAUUUAAUAAUAUUCUUAAUAUAAUUAUUUUUAAAAUAUGAAUUAAUAAAAAUCAUAACAUAUAAUAUUAGAAAUAUAAUAUAUAACCUACUUUAUUAUUUUUAAACUUCAAUGCAUAUUUAAUGUAUUAAAAUAUCAUUAGUAAAAUAAAUAAUUUAAUUAUCUUUUAAAUUAAAAAGUAAAAGAUUAGAAGUAACAAAUAGCUUGAGAAUUAUAUUUUCCAUCCAAACAUAAUAUUCAAAUAUUAACUUGCGAAUUAUCUAGCAGAUUAUCCAAACGUAAAAUUUUACAUCCAGUUGCAGAUUAUCUUGUGAAAAUUGCUUGUAGCAAUGAGAACGUUUUACAAUUGUUUGAACAAUCUCCAAGAAAUGUUUUGAUUUAGGAUUAUGUGAUUCCUAUGUUAUGUUUUCUUAUCACCAAAAAAAAAUAUUAUACUAAAUAAUACAAACACCCUUGGGAUCAAUGAUUAUUACAAGCAAAAAAAUUCUAAGAAGAACAAAGAAAUAGCCGACAAGAAAUUAAUCUUUGUUAUGAACUAGAAAUUAAUCUUUGUUAUGAACUUUCUCUGAAUUACAAUGAUUUUAGCAUCAUUGACAUUCAUUUGAAUGUAUUUGAUUACACAGGAUAAUAUGUGAAUGUUCAAUCUGCUGAUGAACAAUGUACCAAAGAAUCCAAGAGUAAGCGCCGCUACUCUAUGAUUUGGGAUACCAUUCCAAUGUGACUUAUUAUACAUCAACGGUGUUCCAUGAUUACAAAAUGACCGAAAAAAAUCAAAUAUAAUAUGAUGUUUUUAUGAUUGAGUGAAACAUUGAAUAUCAAUUAUAGGAAAAAUCAAAACCACAAAAUAAAUGAUCCUAUUAUCAACAAAAAGGGCUACCCAAAAUCAAACCCACUACAUUCAACAAAUUGUUCUAACUCUGUUACAUAAAUCAAAUACACAAAUAGCAGACAAUGAACAAUUCUAACCAUAACACCAUAUGGCAUUUAAUUUCUCCAAAGUGCUACACAAAACCAAACCUAUAGAGACAGUGAACAGUUCCAACCAUAACAUAAGAAAUACUAGUGUACGACGACAUCACAUUUCUUUGGAUUCAUUGGUAACCUUAAUAGCUUUUUGAAGAUACAUAAUUUAUCUUUUUCAAGCAGAUUAAUCAUUCUUAAUAUGAACUUCUCCAGAACCAUUACAUGGUUCAAGAAAUAACUAAUCAUUUUAAACACAUAUUUGCUUUCAUCAACUCUAGAAAUUUUGGUCUCCUUGACAUGAAAUGAUAAACAAGAAAGUAUAGGUAGUGACUUCAAUCCUUUUUCACCAUUAGCCUAAACUUCCACACAGAAUUAAAAAGAAAUGUUAGUAGUUUGUAUGCUGCAAUUUUUUUAUAUAAUUAUUGGUAAAUGAAUAAGAGCACUUAGAGAACUCUUCAUACCAGAUCUAGAAUAAAGGUAUCUAGAUUAGACACAUUAUGUAGAAACUCCACAAGUCGCACUCAUUUCAGAUAAGGAUAUAACAAAACUCUACAUCAGACCUAUGGACCACACAAACUAAAGUAGAAGUAACUAAAUGCCAUUGGUUAGAUAUUAUGAAAUUAAGUAAAGUUAAUGGUAAAAUAAAAGCUACUAAAUACCCUUGUUUUAAUAUUUUGUUCUCUGCAUUUUGGCUGUAGCCAUUCUUACAAGAAAUUAACUGAACCAAUGAAAAUUAAAAAAAAAAAAAUUAGAUGCAAUCAAUGGUAUAAAUGAACACCCAAGAUUCCAACACUAGGAAACAUGUAUACUACGAAACAUCAAUUCUAUAGAUGAAAUUAAUGAUAUAAAUGAAACAUAUAGUAAAAAAAAAUUAUACAUAUCAAACCUUAGAAAGAUCAACAGAGUUUAGAAUCAAUAAUUUAAAGCGAACAAAUUACUGUUUUAAGCACACAAAGCCCAUUAAAGCAUUAACAACUUCAGCUAAAAUUACAUAAUUCGAUGUCAUAACAUACACUAAACUAAAAUGAAGAACUUGUGAAUCCAAAAUGAUAGUAAGUUUAAGUUAGCAGACACCAAACGGAGUUUCUAAGAAAGCCAAAGGGCAUUAAAACCAAAGCCAAGACAAAAAUAAUAAAAUACCCAACUAUAGAAGCAAACCCCAAAAUACAAAAUAGAAACCCUUCCUGGAAAUUAAUUAGAUAGUGAACGUAUAAAAGGCGAGAGAGAGUUUUAUCUGAAAUCCCACUUUUAUUUUCCUCUUAAAACCUGUACAGAUCUAGGGCAUUUGAAAUUUGGGUCCGAAUUAAAACUUACAAGUUCUUGGAUCCUGCGAGAUUACCCGAAAAAUAUUUCACUUCAUUUUUUUCAAUGGAUUAAGCUAUCAAGAAUUUCCAAUUUUGUCAAUAUAUUGAACAGAAAAAGAGUUGAAGAAGAAGAGAAAACACAUGUUGGAUUUGGAGGAAAUAGGAUUAAAAAAAGGUUUAAAUUGAUAAGUUGGGAAUUUGUUGAUAUUACAGUGGAAGAAAGAAGCAUGAAAAAGAAAAGGAAAAGAUUUCAGACGUGAGAAAGAAAUGAUAUUGGCGAGGGUAAAUUUGAAAGCUUUAGCUAAUUUGUUACACUAAUUCAUGAUCUGGCAUGUACAGAAUGAAAUCUUCAUUCUCAAUUCUACGAGAAUUUUUAUGAAACUCUUUCAUUUGCUUCUCUUUGAUGGAAGUUUUAUUUUUCGAGAAUGUUUCCUAAUUUUUGGCCUAAUUCUUCUUCUAAUGAUUGAUUCAACCUCUGAUCAAAAAGAUAUACUUUGGUUAUAUUUUAUCUCUUCAACAAGUUUAGUAAUGAGCAUAACAGCCCGAUUGUUCCGAUGGAGAGAAGAACCUAUGAUGAAAUUUCUAAACGAACAAUUUCAACGAAAUCUUUCAAUUUCUUAUUUUACUAUGUUCAAAUCUAUGUAUUCCUCUAUCCGUAGAGUACAUUAAUUGUACAGAAAUGGCUAUAGUAGAGUUUCUGUUAUUUGUAUUAACAGCUACUCUAAGAGGAAUGUUUUUAUGCGGUGCUAAUGAUUUAAUAGCUAUAUUUGUAGCUCCAGAAUGUUUCAAUUUAUGCUCCUACCUAUUAUUUGGAUAUACUAAGAAAGAUGUAGGGUCUAAUGAGGCUAUUACAAAAUAUUUACUCAUGGGUGGAGCCAGCUUUUCUAUUUUGGUUCAUGGUUUCUCUUGGCUAUAUGGUUCAUCUGGGGGAGAGAUCGAGCUUCAAGAAAUAGUGAAUGGUCUUAUCAAUACACAAAUGUAUAACUCCCUAGAAAUUUCAAUUGCGCUUAUAUUCAUCACUGUAGGAAUUGGUUCAAGCUUUCCCCAGCCCCUUCUCAUCAAUGGGCUUCUGACGUAUAUGAAAGAGUGCAGUUCGUUCGAUAAAUUCCUACCUCUCUAUCUAUCUCUAAGAUGUUUAGAUUUUUCAAAAAUCCAUGGACAUGCAGAAGAGAAAUGUUAUCCCCACUCAGACCAAGACAUAACUUUGACUUUGACUUUGACUUUGACUUUGACUUUGACUUGUUCAAAUAACAAUUAAGGUGAAGCAGGGUCAGGAAUAACGAUUCUCUUUAUGAUAAACAGAUUUAUUUUGCAAGUUCGUUGUUACGAGUAGCCUACAAAGGAUUAGACUAAUGACGUAUACAAUACUUGAAUUCUCGAUGUAGAUGUUACAUAGUUGGUUCUCAUCCUUUAGAGGAUACGAGUGUAAGAAGAGCAUCCGUCGACAAAAGGAUCACCCCAAGAUGAUCAUCUCAUGGCUAUUGAGAAUGAAUCAAAUCAGAUGGUUCUAUUUCUCAAUCUUUCUGACUUGCUCUUACGGAACCAAAGUCGAAAAGAUUGAGAAAAAUCAGUCAUUCACAACCACCGAUGAAGGAUUUAUUGAAAAGUUAAGAAUUAGUAAUUCAUUUUAGAAAUCGAAUGGGUUCGAUCUUAUACAUACGCGAGAAAGAUAAUUAAAAAAAAAGAAAGAAGAUACAACCAAUCAAACAAUGGUUUAGUGAUGGGCCCAUUGAAUUGAGCUGUAAUGCAUUGGUAUUACAGCCAACCAAACAUGCUGUAAGUUUUUUUCUAAUGUUUUUGUUUAUUGUGAUUUUUGAAGUCCCCUGCUUCAUCCGAAAUUGAUUUCAGGUAUGAAUCAUUACUUAAACUUUGUAUUUGCCUUUUCAUUUCUGUUUUUAGUUUCAAAUAUAUGCCUUUUGACUUGUAUUUCAGUGGGUUUAUUUUAUGGUUUUUGGUUUCAGGUUUAGAAAUCAUUGUUUCAUUUUGUGUUUCAAAUAUGUGGAUCUCAGUUUGGUUGUGAUUUUUGUUUAUUUGUGGUUUACUUUCGUGAGAGAGAAACCUUAAGUUUUUAUCUGUCGUUUGUGAUGUUUGUGAUUUUUGAAACCCUUGCUUCAUUGGAGACUAAUUUUAGGUAUGAAUCAUUACUUGAACUUUUCCUUUUUCAUCUCUGUUUUAGUUUCAAAUCAUUGCUUCUUUACUUGUGGGUUUUUGCUAAGGUUUUUUUUUUCAGCUUUAGAAAUCACUGUUUCGUUCCUUCUUUCAAAUCUAUGGAUCUCGGUUCAGUUCUUCUUUUUGUUUGAGUGUCGUCUACUAUAUGAUGUUCUUUUAUUUUUCGGAUUGUUUGUUUCCACCUGUUUUAAGAUUAUAACUUAGGUUGUGGCUAAUUUCUUUGAAAUGUUUGCUUAGCAGUACACUGUUUGGAUUCUUAUGUUUAGGGAUGGGGGUUAGGGUUAGAGUUUGGGGUUGUGGUGUGUAGUCGGGGGGUUGGGGAUUGGGGUUGUGUUUUAUCACUGUGGGUUAUGAGGUUGUAGUAUUUAGCGGUGUGGGUGGGUUUGGGGAUGUGGCCUUGGUGCUUGGGGUGUUUUGUAGUGAGGCGUUUGGUAGUGGGUUAAAUGAAUCUCAUAUGGGGCUUUUGGUGCGCAAUAAUCAUGGGUUUUCAUCCGCCGCUCGUAAUAUAUGGAGUAAAUCUAUUGGCUUGAGUUAAUUUUUGUCCCUCCUCAUUUAACUUUUGUUCGUGUUGCAAUUUUUAAUGCAUUAUGAUUUUACCUUAAAAUCAUCAAUAUUACGAAACGCAUAAAUACUUGACUAUUUCUUUUUCAUCCAAAAUAUACAUCUAUAUAUAUAUAUAUAUGUAUUUCAAUUUCAAAGUAAAAUGAGUUGUGGUGUAUACAGGAGUUUAUUAAAAAUGGUUUGAUUCUUGAAUACGGUCUGGUAUUCUUAUAAAAAGGAAUAUCAGUUUCGAGGGAAGCCCAAUUCAUAAUAUUUUUUCACUGGGCCAGAAAUAAUUUCAGUAGAAUUUAGGCCAGGUUUGAGUUAUUGGGUCAAACUAAUUCCGAUUUCAUACCAGGCAUUUCGCCAACGCUGCGUUUUGUUCAUAGCGCUCAUUUCUUUGGUCUCGCUCGAAAUUUACCGCGUAGCAUUGCACAUAGAGUGUUUGAUAAAAUCACCCAGCGAAUCGAGCUUGAGCUUGGGUAUACUCCGCACCUGAAAACUCGAAAAAAUGCAACGGUUAGCAUCAAGAAUCACCGUUACCGCGAAAGUUUCCUCGUCACUAAGAACUAUCAUCCUGAAAGAAACACCUUCUUCUUCUUGGCUUUCAAUUCGCUGCUUCUCUGCCUUCUCCUCGCAGCAACGUGUCACGGAAAAAGAAGCAAUCCCAGGAGAUUUAUUGAAAUGGGGUUCGCUCGGUUUUUGCAGGACUUCGAGAUUUGCAUCUGGGUUCAAGCCUUUAGAACCCAAGCCAUUGUAUUCCAUCAUGGAUUUGAACAGAGCAAAGAACCGUUCACCUGAGGACCUUGCUUCUAUUUGGGAUGAUGUAAUAUACCCAAUUACUGACUUUUUCUUUCCCUUUUCAUUUUUAUGUCGUUAAUAUGAAAAAACAAAUUGAUUAAGCAAUUUUUUUUAUGUUCAGUAUCACUUGGGAAGAGGUCAUAUUGGGUUGACCAUGAAGGCAAAACUUUACCGUUUAUUGGAACAAAGAGGCUCAGAUUGGUAAUCCAUUUGAUUCCAUUGUUUAUGUUGUUACAUACACGUUGGGUUUCAUACUUCUUACUAGUCUCACUUCUAUCUGUCUUUGCAGCCGGUAUUUUGUCGUUCCUUUGUGGAGAGGAAGUGGUUAUACAACAAUGUUUGGUCAAGGUUUGUUAUCUGAUCGGUAGUCUUCGAACUUUUUUCAUAUUGUUUUUAUGUGACAAUUGAUUUAUUUUGCGGUGGUUGACUUGUCUUGCUUGUGAUCUAUAUAACCGAUUAUUCAACUUAGGCAAAAUGCUUUCUAUACUACAAUGCUUAUAAUCAUGAUAUGGUUUAUUGAAUCAUGCCUGUUAUAGCAAUAAAUUUUUAUUAAGAAACAAGCUAGUUUAGAGCCUUAAUUGUUAACAAGUUCGUCAUUCUCGACCAUACUUUUGGUUUGAUACUAUAUAACAUCAUGGCUUUUGCAGUUGGGAAAGAGUAAGAGUUUCUAUCUAUUGGCCAUUCUUGUACAUGCUGAUCGGAACCAGGAAUCCAAUUAGGGUUAUUUGCUAUAAUGAACAGUGCUAAAUACUAAUGUUGUCAUGCAUUAGGCUCUCCAUUAGAUUUUUUUGAUGGCAUAUGCCAUUGAAGUAUACAAUCAAAUUUUGCAUUCUUCCACAAACUUGUUUGUUUGCUUAAAUGUUUAUUCAAAAUUUUCUUGCAGUGCAAUUGCCAUACAUGCUUUUCACUGGUCUCGAAGAUUAUAAAGCAAGAGGAACUCAAGCAUCUCCUUACUUCACUGCAUCCUUUUACACAGAAUUUGCGGAAAGCAAGGACUUGGUACUUAUCCGUGGAGAUAUUGUUUUCACCAGCAAACUUACUGAUGAGGAAGCAAAGUGGCUCUUGGAAACCACUCAAUCUUUUUAUCUUAAUGAUGUGAGGUACAAGCUGGUUGAAUGUUUCAAUAAAGAACCACGGGAUUUUGAGUUUAAGGAUGUCUUACGAGCUUUAGACAUGCCCAUUCUGUAACUUCUUAAAAUGAUAUAUUUUUGAAUUGUAGUGCUUCAUUUUGAAGAAGUGAAGCAAUAAUGUCUCUAAAAAUUGUUUUUCUAGACACUACUUGUUUCAUUUUCAAGAAAUUAUUUAAAUCCUCUCCGGGAGAGAGGACAGUCUUGAGAUUAUUUGUUGUGUUCUUGUGAGAAAUAUUGAAGAGAGAUUAUUUUGUGAGGCAUUUUACUUAGAGAGAUACAGAUCUUACACUUUUUGUCUCCCAUUUAAAUGAUAUCAACGAAUUAAUCGUACUUUUUAUACAUCAGAUUGUAUCAAUUUAUGUAUUGUGAGUUGAAGUUUUCUUCAACCACAUAGUAAAAGUUAAUUACGUUUCGGGUUGUUUACAUUUUGGUUUUGGUGGUGCAUAUUCAUUAUCUACAAACAUCUAAUUAGAAUGAUCGAAAAUACCAUGAAGCGUGAAACAUAAUAACAGUUGAAGUUUUACUUCUCUUUCGGUUUUAGACAACUAUACAAACAAUCCCGUGAAUAGAAAUCAAUACUAAACAUUUGUUAUGCUAUAUUUCUAUGUUUGGUUUUACCAAAAAAGGUAUGAACAGGUAAUAUAAUAUUCUUUGGAUGAAUUAUGUUAUUUUACUUGUUUUAUUAGUUCUAGCUAUAGGGAGCAUAGAAAUAAACUGAAAGAUCUUGGCUGAAGCUGGUUCUCUUCUAGUUCGUUAAAAACCUAUACAUGUGAAGGAACCUCUUUAUGAGUAUAGGCCAUUUUUGACUACCAGCAUUUGUUAAGUAGGGAUUGUUAAAGCCUUUACUUGUGAAGGAACCUCUGUAUGAGAAUUAGGUCAUCUUUGAUUGUCAACAGUAGUUAAGUAGAAACUGGAGUUGUUAAGGUAUCCAUAUGACAAAUGAGAAGCAACGGCAACAUUCUAUAAGUAGGAAGUAGGAACUACCAUAUGACAGUGAAUAUUUCUUACAUUUAGGACGUAAAAGUGCUUUUGGGCAGCAAAAGCAAUCCCAAACACACGAAAGCACUUUUAAAAAGUGCUUAUGAACCUAUCAUGAGAAGCCAGAAAAUUGGUGUGGUGGCUUAUAGAGUUUGGGACGAAAAAGUACUUAAAUGUACAUAAUCAAAUUUUCAUUUACCCAACUAAUAACACUUUACUGCUUUCUUUCUUGUUUAGGUUUGAGGAAACAAAAAUACUCUUUAAAUUGUAGUUUAAUGAGUUCCUUUAAAUUGUAAGAUAUAUUUUUAUACUCUUUAAAUUCCACACAUGCAUUGAUUUAAUAGUUAUUGUUAUUGUAUUACUAAAAGUAAUUGUUAUUAUAUUAUUAAUAAUAUCUAAAAUAUGUUUUAUAUAUUUAAAUUAAAUAUUUUAAAUAAGUUAUAUUAAUUAUUUAAAAGAUAAUUUAUAAUUUAUAUAUCAUUAUAUUAAAUCAUUUAGAUUAAUUAUUUUUUACUUUCAAACAUUAUAUCCAAAAUGAACAUUUUAACUUUCAACUGCAGGGUAUUUGCAGACAAUUCGUGAAGGAUUUUUCAAUAAUUGCUUCACCGUUAACAAAAUUAUUGCAGAAAGAUAUUAGAUUUUUAUAGUCUGAAAAGUGUUAUCAGAGUUUUGAUAAGUUGAAAGUCAUGUUGAUCGAAGCUCCAGUUUUAACACAACUAGAAUCCGAGAAAGAAUUCAUUGUUUAUAGUGAUGCUUCGCUCAGCGGAUUAGGUUGCGUUUUAAUGCAAGAAGGUAGGGUUAUUGCUUAUGCUUCUAAGUAGUUGAAACCACAUGAGAAAAACUAUCCAAGACACGAUUUAGAGUUGACAGUGGUUGUCUUUGCUUUUGAAGAUCUGACGACACUACUUGUACGGAGAGAAAUGUCACAUGUAUAUCGAUUAUAAAACUUUGAAAUAUUUGAUGACUCAGAAAGAAUUGAACUUCAGACAACGUAGAUUGCUUGAACUGUUAAAGGAUUAUGAUUUGGUGAUUGACUACCAUCCGAGUAAAGCUAAUGUUGUAAUUGAUGCCUAAGUCGGAAAUCUUUGUUCGCAUUGAGGGCGAUGAAUGCUUAGUUAAUUUUGGAACGUGACAGUUCUAUUCUAACCGAGCCAAGGGCUAGACCACUAUUCUUUCAAAGAAUUCAAGAGUUGCAAAAAAGAUGAAUCCAAAUUUUUUAGCUAAACAAAACCAGAUUCAGAAUAGCUAGACCAUUGAAUUCCGUGUUGGUAGUGAUAAUGAUCUAUAUUUCCAAAAUCGGAUAUGUGGGUCGAAUGACUCUGAUUUUAAGCAAAACAUUCUAUAGGAGGCUCAUAAUAGCGUUUAUUCGAUACAUCCUAGUAGCAUCAAAAUAUAUAAUGACUUGAAAUAGAGUUAUUGGUGGCCGAAAAUAAAACGGGAGAUUUCAGAGUUUGUAUCGAAAUGUUUGGUAUGUCAGCAGGUUAAGGCUGAACACCAAGUACCAUCAGUAUUGCUUGAACCUAUUAUGACCCCUGAGUCGAAAUGGGAACGAGUUACAAUAGAUUUCGUAUCAGAAAUACUGUUAACUUUGAAAAUGAAAGAUUCGAUCUGGGUAAUUGUUGACAGAUUAACGAAAUCAGCUCAAUUUAUUCUGAUCUGAAUAGAUUAUUCACUUGAGAAACUUGUUGAAUUGUAUGUUGUUGAGAUUUUUAGAUUGCAUGGUGUGCUGCUAUUCAUAAUUUUUGAUCGUGAUCCGAGAUUUAUUUUUAGGUCUUGGGGUAAGUUACAAGAACUUUUGGGCACGAAACUGAACUUCAGUAUAACUUUCCAUCAUCAGACUAACGUACAGUCAGAACAAGUUAUUCAAAUCCUAGAAAAUAUGUUGCGAUGUUGUGUUAUUGAAUUUGAAGGUCGCUGGGAGAAAUUCUUUCCUUUAGAUGAGUUUACCUAUAACAACAACUUUCAGUCCAACAUUAAAAUGACACCGUUCGAGGCUUUAUACAGACGUAAAUGCAGAACUUCGUUAUACUGGUAAGAAUUGAGUGAAAGAAAGUUAGUCGGGACAUAUUUGAUAAGAGAAAUAGAAGAUAAAGUUUGUAUUAUUUGAGAUUGUUUGAAAGUCGCUUCUGACUAUCAGAAAUCAUAUGCAAACUUGAAAUGGAAAGAUAUCGAGUUUCAAGUGAGUGAUAGAGUGUUUUUGAAAGUCUUCUCGCGGAAAAAAGUGCUACGGUUCGACAGAAAAUGAAAGUUUAGUCCAAGAUUUAUUGAGCCAUACAAAAUUAUCGAGAGAACUGAUCCUGUGGCAUACAUACUAUUAAAAACUUGCCAUUGAUAGUUAUUAAAAACACUAGCCACAGUAGUAGGUUUCGUACAACUACCUUUGUAGGUUUCAUUCUCAUAACUUGGCACUGAUAGUUAUUCAGUGUCAUCUACUCAAUAAAUUCUUAGGCUACCACAGGUGUCUAUUAUAUUCAAUGUUCCACCAACUGCUUGAUCAGUUAUCUGUUUAGUCGAGGGAUUCAAACGGUUGUAAAAUGUUUGAACUUGUAACCACAAAGGUAAUCAAUGAUGAGGACACAUUCUCAAAAGAUCCUUAAAUCUCUCUCUUGCAUCAUACAAUGUCUCAAGCUCAAAUUGAGCAAAAUAAGAGAAAUCAUUCUUCAACUUGGUUGUUUUGGCCAAUAGAAAAUACUUCAACAGAAAUUUUUUAAUCAUUUGAGCCCAAGCGGUGAUGGAACCUCGUGGAAGUGAAUUCAACCACUGUUUUGCCUUGUUCCUCAAACUUGUUCCUCAAAGAGAAUGAGAAUAGCCGUAAACGUUUGACAUCAUCAGUAAUGCCAUUGAUCUUGAAUGUGUCGCAGAUAUCCAGAAAGCUAGCGAAAUGAGUAUUUGGAUCUUCAUCUUACAACCAAUCGAACUGAACAUACUGUUGCACCAUCUAAAUUAUGUUCGGCUUAAUGUCAAAAUUGUUUGUAGCAAUAGUCAAUCUGACAAUACUUGAAUCAACCCUAAUUAGAAUGGACUUAGCAUAGUCAUGCAUAGUCCGAAGAGCAGGACGUAUAGGAAGUUGUUGAUUACUAGGAUUAUUAUCCAUCUCCACUAUACUGUCCUUUUGCUAUUGACCGUCUACUAAGAUCUGUUGACCUUCCUUUGCUUCUCUAACUUCUCUCUGAUUAACGCAAGUAGUUUUUCCGAUCUUAUUGUAAAAAAUUAAUGGUUCCAAUAUGUAGCAUUUAGUCAUAAACCAAGGGAACCUGUAGGAAUUAAACAAAAGAAAAAUUAGAAUGUAAAAAAUAAAAUAAAAUAAAUAUUAAAGUAAAGAUAAAAAAUGGUUAAAUUAAUAGAAAUAAAGUUUUCCUAAUAUUAUAGUCUCGGACAACAACUCAAAAAAUUUGAUGUCCACGAAACUUACUAAAAAGUUGACUAAGGUAAGUGCAAUUAUCAAUUAAUAGUAUUGCUACAAUGAGCAAAUAUAUUGUUCUCACUUAGACUAAAAAUGCAAGUAAUUACCAUCUUUCUUUAACCGAAUAAUUCGAGUGAUUGAUUAAAAAUUGAAAUUAACUAUAUUAAUUAACUAACGAACACGACAAAGAACAAAAUACGAAAAUAAUUGAUUAACAACCAAGAAGCGAAACAAUACCCAGGAAAGAAUCCGCCUAGAUUUCCUUUGUCACUAUCAAUCUAAAUUACGCAAAUUCUUUACUUAGUUCACUGAUCCGUAGAAAUUCCUAAAUUAUGCAAAUAUGUAACAGCCCGAUUUUGACCCUAAUCAGACAAAGUGGUUUUAGGACCACAAAUCCGAGUCAGAAAAAUUUUUUAAAAUUAUUUUUGGUAUUUGCAAUAUGUGAAUUACUAUGUAUGAAAAUUUCGUAUGAAAAUUUGAUCGUUUGAGUGCUCAAUUUGAUAAAAAUGGCUUAAUCGCGUAAAAUAAAAAUUUGGGGGUCAAAUUUAAAAGCACCCAAUUGUUGUUGCCUUUUAAAAUGGGAGUAGUUAAGAAGAAAUUAUCCCACAAAUUAGAUAGUGGGCGGCAUAUUACAUUAGUGACCUUAGUAUAUGUGUUUUUAUAAAUUAUUAUUAAUAAGGUUAAUUUGGUCAUUUGCUAAAUUAAACUUUAUAAUUAAAAUUAAACAAAAACUUCUUAUUCAUUCAUCUUCUCCAAGCCGAAUAUUAGUUAGAAAAUAACUCAACCAUGGCUUCUUAGGUUUCGGCAAUGGUUUAGCUUGAUUAAGGUAUGUUUUGGUCUCGGUUUUUUAUGAUUUUUACGUUUUUGUGAUCGUUGCUUCGUGUUCUAUCUAGCCCAUGCUUUAAUUUUAGAAUUUGAUGUUGAUUUUGAGAUAUACCAUUAGUGAAUGCUUGAUCUUUGUGAUAGUUGAUGAUGAAAUAUGAAAGAUAUGUGAAAGAUUAACAUAUUUUGUCUUUGAAUUUUUGGUGAAAUUGAGUAAUUAGGGUUAAAUUGUGAAAUUAAAUUUUUGGGGACUAAAAUGUGAAAUAAAUGAAAUGUCUGGACUUGUAUGAGUACUAGUAAUAUUUGGCCCUUAUAUGGUGUGGACAAAUUUUGUUUAUUUUGUGUUUUAUGCAAUAGGGACUAAAUUGCAAAAAGUGUAAAUGUCAGGGGCAAAAUGGUAAUUUACCCAUUUAUGUGUUUUUGGACUAAAUUUAAUGUGAUAAUUUUUAAACUAGCUCAUUUUGAAUAUAUUUAGAUCAAGAACUAAAGAAAUCGGAGUUGGAUCGGAGAAAAGCUAAAGUCGUUGACUAAUCGUCCGGUUUCGAUUUUUCACCGUCUGAGGUAAGUCUAUUAGCAACUAAGAGUUAUUAAGUUAAUAUUUAUAUAUGCAUACUAAUUGUAUUUUAUGUUUAGCUAUAAUUUAAAGUAUAUUAGUUGAAUAAAUUUUGAAGUGUGGAUAAUAUAUAUAACAUGUUCGAAUAUACAAGUAUGAUCUUGUAUAAAUUCAUGGUUUGUGUAACAGCCCGAUUCUGGGCCUAGUGAAACAGUGGUUUCGGGACCACAAAUCCGAGAAGGGAAAAUAUGAUUAUUAUUAUAUUUUUAUGGUCUACAAUUUUACAAAAAAAUUUCUUAAAAAUUUCGUUCAAAAAUUUCGACAUUUGGGCACUCAAUUUAGUCUAAAGGACUAAAUUGUAAAAAGUGAAAAAGUUGAGUUCUACAUGUUAGAAGUGUCAAAUUGUUAUGAAAUUCUAAAUUGGAGGUUCUUAUGUUGUAAUUAGACCAUUAGUUAAUUGAUGGACAAAAAUGGGCAUAGAAUUAGUGAAAUAAAUUUUUUUAAGUAAGGGCAUUUUAGUCAUUUAGUAAUAAAAAGAAAUAAAAUGGGAAAAAGAUGGAGAAAUGGUGUCAUCAUCUCCAUAGUUGCUGCCAAAUUUUGGAAGACACCAUAGCUAGGGUUUCUUUGCUUUCUCAAGCUCAUAGUAAGUGCAUCCUAGCCCCGUUUUUAAUGUUUUUCGUAUUUUUGAAAUCCUCGUAGCUCGGUUUAGCUUAUUUUAUCAAUAAUUCAUGUUAGGGUUUAUAUUUGGAAAAAUACCCAUAGGUGAAAAGUGUUUAUUUUGCUGUUUUAUGGUGGAAUAUGAAGCUAGAAAUUAUGUUAAACAACUUUUGCUUAGCGAUUUUAAACGAAAACAGGUAAAUUGACAAAAUCAGUAAAAAUACCUAAUGUUCAAAAGUGUGUGUUAGAGUGAGAAUUUGAUGUUGUCAUAGAAGGGAAAAAUGUUCAGCAUGUCAUAAAACAUUAGAAUAAGUGAUGAAGUUUAAUUUCCGAGCUUAGGGACAAAAGUGUAAUUAUGCAAAAGUUCGGGGGCAAAAUUGUAAUUUUUCAAAAAUUUUAAUAAAUGUGAACAUUAAAUGAGUUAAAUUUUCCAUUAUAGAUCAAGAAAAAUGAGAAGACUACCUCAAACGGGGAAAAGAGAAGAUAGUAGAGUAAAUUGCAAAAUUUCGAUAUUUUGCACCGAGGUAAGUAAACAUGUGAUUUAAUUCAAUAUUUUGACAUUAUUUGAUAUAUGUUGAGAUUUAUUUGAACAUAGAAUAAAUAUUUGAUAAAAAUUCUAAAAAUGUGGUUAAAUUGGGAAAGGUGGUAAAGUGUUGAAAAUAUUGGUUCCGGUUGAACACUCGGAAUAAGCCGGAGUACAUUGAAUAUAAAGGGGGUUGCUAAGUGCUGAUUCCCCCAAGGGGUUGCUAAGUGCUGAUUCCACCGUAUUUUAAAUGUGAAAGGGGUCGCUAAGUGCUGAUUCCCCCAAGGGGUUGCUAAGUGUUGAUUCCCUGACUCAUUGGUGGUUGCUAAGUGCUGAUUCCACCGUAUUUUAAAUGUGAAGGGGGUUGUUAAGUGCUGAUUCCUCCAAGGGGUUGCUAAGUGUUGAUUCCCCGAAUCAUUGGUGGUUGCUAAGUGCUGAUUCCACCAUAUCUUUGAAUAUGAAAGGGGUUGCUAAGUGCUGAUUCCCCGAAUCACUGGUGGUUGCUAAGUGCUGAACCCACCGAUAACGGUUGAUAUUCCGAGUGUUCAACGAGAAAAUUGGAAAGGUGAAUAUUUAUAUAUGGUGGAGAAGUUUAUGGGAGGAAUAGUGGGUUUGAUUCUUAAUCAACCCAUGUAUAAGAUGGGAGGAAGUAUCAAAAACUACAAAAGAGCAAAUUAAAUAUAAAACUAUUUUGAACAACAGCAGUUGGGCAACUUUGAAAAAUCACCAUAAAUGGUGGAAAAUGAAUUGGAGGUUGAAUAAUAUGUUAAAUUAAAUCUGAGUGAGUCUAUUUUCAUAUGAAAGAAACAGAGCAAGCAAAAGAGUUGUAUAUUUGGGGAUAUUUGAAUUUAUUUGAGACAGGGCUGGAUUGAUUUUGAAAUCCCCUAUUCCAACUUCAGAAAAUCACCAAAAAUUAUAAAAAUAUAAUUAUGGACUUAAAUUUAUAUGCUUGGAUUCCUUAUUGAGUCUAUUUUUAAUAGAAACAAACGAGACCAUUGUUUGAAUUUUUUACAGAGAGUUAAGUAAAUUUUAGUAAAGGGAGGUCAGAACCAUUGGGCAGUGAAACAGGGGAAUCUUUAAAGAAUAAACUGUAUUAAUUGGCUAAAUCAAAAAUUCUUAAAAUUUUAUGGUGGAAAGGUAUAUGAGUCUAGUUUUGGGGAAAAUUUACGGAACUUAAUUUGGAGUCCUGUAGCUCCAGAUAAAAAUAAAUUAGCCUCCAUGACGCAGAAAGACAGUUUGCUGGAAAUUAAACAAACCUUGAAAUUUAUGUGUGAUUAAAAUUAUGCUGCUAUGAAAUCAUGUGGGAAAUUUAUUUAUUUGUCAUAUGUUUACUUACUAAGCUAUAUGCUUACUCGUUUUUAUUUUCCCUUGAUUAUUGUGACAUCAGCCAGCUCGGAAUUUGGACGAAGUCAGGAAAUCAUCCACACUAUCAUCAACUUUUUGGGUAUUUUGUAAUUAAUAUUUUGAAAUAUGGCAUGUAUAGAUGACUUUAUGUGAUGUGGUAUAAAUAUAUAUAUAGUGUUGUUCGAUUUAAUAUGUUGGUGAUUAUUAAUGGAAAAAUUAUGUCUGAACAUAUAUCUGUAAUUGGUUGGAAAUAUUGAAGUUGUUUGAAAUUGUUUUUGGAAAGUUGCAGGGGGUUUUAUGUAAAAACAAGCAGAAAUGCUGUCGAAAUUUUUAUAAAAAAAAAUUAUAAGUGUUUGAGUUCUAGUAAUACCUCAUACUCUGUUUCGGCAAGGAACACGGGUAAGGGGUGUUACAGUUUGAAAUGAAGAUAUGAAAUGUAAUCAAGAAUAGGCGAUGUUCGAAUAAGCAUGAAUAUAUAUAUGUAAAUUUCUUUUUUUUGAAAUUAGGUAAGAAAGUUAUAUAUAUACAUACGAUAGAUCAAAUAUAUAUAUGUGAAUACAUGAACAAGUCUUGAAUUUAGACAAAGAUAUGUAUAUAUAUAUAAGUUUUUGAGUUUAGUUAAAGUACAAAUGUUGUAAAUGUAUAAAUUCCUGGUAUAAAUCAAAGGUAUGUAUAACAUUUAUAUAUUAGGUUCGAAUAUAUGUAUAUAUAUACAUAAGUAUAUACAAGUAUAAACUCUUGGAUUGGAUUAAAAAUAUGUAACUUAUAAUUGUAUAUAUAUAGUUUCGAAUAGGUAUAUAUAUAUAUAUAUAUAUAUAUAUAUAUAUAUAUGUGUGAGUUAUAACUUAUAUGUAUAUGUUGUAUUCGAAUGAGCAUGCUUACAUAUAUGUAUAUGUUCUUUUAUUGAAUUUAGGUAGGACAUUUAUAUAAGUUUAUAUGAGGUUUGAUUAUGCAACAUUAUGUGUAUAUGUUCUUGUAAUGAAUUUAAGUAUGAAAUUUAUAUAUGUAUGUGAAAGUUUCGAUUAUGUAUGUAUAUUUAUGUAAAAGUUCUAGAAUGGAAGUGAAUAUAUGAAAUUAUUAGUUUGGAUCAUUAUAAAGCGAUCGAAUGUAAUACAAACUUUACGUCUAGCAGGCUUGAUGCCGGUGAAAUGAUUCAGACUUUACGUCUAGCAGGCUUAAUGCCGGUGAUACAUUUCAGACUAUAGGUCUAGCAGGCUAAAAGCCGGUGUACCGAAUCAGGUUUUAAAACCUAGUAGGCUAAGUGCCAGUGAUCUGUUUAAAUUAUGUGAGAAUAUGCAAUUGAUAUAUCUAUGAUUUUGAUUAUAUGAUAUCGAUGAAUACAUAAACAUUCGGUUUUUACAUGCUUGGUGAGUAUACACCUACAUUCGGGUUUUGCAUUGGUUAAACAUAAUUGUAUGCAUUCGGUAUAUACAAUUAAUAAAGGCAUAUGUACAUUAGGUAUAUGCGAUUGUUGAAUUUAUAAAUGCAUAUGGUGAUAUGCGGUUGUUAAAUAUAUAUAUAUGUUGAGCCUAUGUGUUUGAUAAUCAUUUAUGUAUGCAUUUGAGAUUUAUAUAUAUAUAUAUAUAUAUAUAUAUAUAUAUAAAUGUACUCAUUUAUAUGUAUAUGAAGAAUAUGUAUAUAUAUUCGAAUGUAUGUAUUAGCUAUGUAUUCAGGUAUAAAUUCAUAAUGAGUAUAUAUAUACAAACGAAUAUAAAAUGUGAUUGGUAUAUAUGUGUAUGCUCAAUUAUAUGCACAUGAUAAGUACAUAUGUGCAUUUUGAUGUGUGCAGGUAAUAAAGAUGUAUACACAUUCGGUUAUAAAAUUUGUUAAACAUAUGUAUAUAUGCAAUCGGUUAUUUACGUUAAAGUGUAUAUACAUUCGGUUUUAAUUGUUGAUAAUUAUGUAUGCAUUUGUCUAUAAGUAUUUGUUAAUAUAUAUAGUGUUUGCGAAUUCAUUAAGUGUACCAGGAAAUUUUAUAAUUUUUUUAUAUAUAUAUAUUUUUGUUGUUAUGCUAUAGACUUACUAAGCUAUAAAAGCUUACUUUGUUUACUUAUGUCUUUCUGUUUUAUAGACUUAAAGAUCAAGCUUCAAGCUCGGGGAUCGUCAGCAAGUUCAUCACCCUAUCUAUUGUCUCGGUAUUUAAAAUGUUUAAAUUUUAACUACGGCAUGUACAGACUAGAUAAAUGUUUUGAAGGUCGUACUUUGUUAUAUUGUAUAUGAAUUUAAUAGCCAUACGAAAAUGGUUUAUUUCCUUAUGGAUUUUGCUGGAUUGUCAUGUCUUUAUUUUGUUUUGAAUGAUCUAAGUGAAGUUCAUAAUAUGUCAUAUUUAAUGUUAAAUUAAGUUUAUUAAAUAUUAAAUAUUUAUACACAAUGUAUAUGUUUUGAUUUUGCAAUGGUUGUAUUUUGUUUAGUAAUGCUUCGUAACCCUAAUUCAAAUAAGGAUACGGGCUAGGGGUGUUACAAAAUAUCUCUUUUGAGCAUAAGAGCAACUAACUCUAGGUUGAUUAAUUGAAAAUUUUUAAUUAAAACCACUAUUAUCGCAUUAACUCGUGCUAUGGAUUCCCCUAUUAGAUUUAACUCUAAUAUGGUAGAUUUAUGUCCUCCUAUUUUUAGAAUUGCAUGUAACUCCACUCAAUUACACAAGAUCUACUUUUAAACAGGGUCUAUUCAACCACCAAUUUAAGCACAUUAAAUAUGGAUCAAUAAUCUAGAAAUAUCAAACCAAGAAUUAAGAACUCACAAUUAAGAACAAGAAACUAAAUAAUUAUUGCGUAAAAUAAAAAUCAAAUGAUAGAAUCCAUUAUAGGGUUCAUCUCUCCUAGGUAUUUAGAAAAUUAGCUCAUUCUUGAAAAUAAAAACAUCCAAGAUCUACUCUUAAAUUAGCUCAUGAUUUUCCGCUGUUCGAGGCACAAUUCCACGAAAUCGACAUAGCUUACCAUACGUCCGUGUGGGUCACACGGUCAUAUGAUUUGGUUGUGUGGAAUGGUUCAGCCCGUGUGGCUCCUGUAGCUUGCUCCGACACUCCAGUUUUCAAGCAUUAAAACAUGAAUUCAAAAUAUUAGGAGCAUAAAAUUCACAAUUAACAUCAAAUAAUUACCCAAAAACGCAUUAAGAACGAAGUUAAAACAUGUUACUUUUAUCACUUAUCACCGACAAAACUAAAAGAAGUAAAGGCAUAGUUGUAAGAAUUAUUAGAUCGGGGAUUCUUUCAACCGAGUAUGUCAACUUAGGAUACGCCAAUAUUAUUUGUGAAAAAAAAAGAUGAAACUAUAAGACUUUGAAUUGAUUAUAGACAACUGAACAAAGUGACCACAAAGGAUAAGUAUACAUUACUCCGUAAAGACGAAAAUAUGCCUCAAAACUUUAAAAAAUCUAUUUUUUCCAACAAUAAUUAUUAUAAUAAUUAAUUUAUGUUGAUAAAUAAUUUGUAUCUACGCUCAUAAAUAAAUAUAUAAUUAUAUUAAGAUAAAUAAAAAAAAGUUAAUUGUAAUAUGAUGAUUUGCCCCAUGGAUAAAAAUUAUUAGAUAAAAAAUAUAAAUUAAAUGAAAAAAAGGAGAAAGGGACACUUAUUUCAAUAUAAGCUUGUUAUAUAUAUGAUAUAGAUGAUUCUUAAUUUUGCUAUACUUUUUUAUUAUUAAUAAAUUAAAUUUUUCGUAAUUUUAUUAAAUAAUUUAAGAUUAAAUUUUAUUAAAUAAUUUAAGAUUAAUAUUUGAUGUAUUAAUCAAUAUUUUUUUUGAAUUUAAAUUAUUUAUCAUUUAAAUAACCUGAAAGGGGGAAGGAGAUCAAUAAAAUGAAAGUUACUUUAUUGCCUACAAACUAUUCUGUCUGUAUUGAUAAACGUGUUGAACAUAAAUGGCGUAGGUAGUCCCAGUGUGAACGUUAGGUCAGUCAUUUUAGGGUGGGUUUGAAUGAGCGGUUGGGUGCGGUGCGGUGCGUUUAGCUUACUUUUUGUCUCACGCUACAGUACCGCUACAGUAUCUAAUCUCACCGCCACCGCUAUUUUUAUACUAACCGCUGGUAAACGCACCGCCCAUUCAAACCCAACCUUAGUCUCGGAUAACCUUUGUUCAUCCAAACCAAAGUAUAUUUUAGUCAUAUUAGUCAUUUUUUGCUAUACUUUUUUAUUAUUAAUAAAUUAAAUUAUUUUUCGUAAUUUUAUUAAAUAAUUUAAGAUUAAUAUUUGAUGUAUUAAUCAAUAAAAAAUUUGAAUUUAAAUUAUUUAUCAUUUAAAUAUCCUGAAAGGGGUAGGAAUUGAUUGGCCAACAACUAUUUUGUCUGUAUUGAUAAACAUGUUAGAAAAUAAAUGGCGUAGGUAGUCUCAGUGUGGACUUUUAGGUCAGUUCACAUUUGUUCAUCCAAACCAAAGCAAAAAAGAUGAGCAAAUCAGGCUGCUUAAAGCUUCACAUCGCCAUGUUUCCCUGGGUUGUAUAUGGUCAUUUCAUCCCCUUCCUUCAUCUCUCAAAUAAGUUGGCUCAUAAAGGCCAUAAAAUUUCCUUCAUUUUGCCUAAAGGAGUGCAACCAAAGCUGGAAAACAUGAACCAAUACCCCAACUUGAUUCAAUUCGUUCCUCUAGUUAUACCCCAUGUCGAUGGCCUCCCUCCAGGUGCUGAAACUACAUCUGUUAUUCCUCUGAACCAACAAAAAUACCUUGCUUUUGCUGUAGAUUAAACCAGGGACCAAGUUGAAGGCAUCCUAGGGGCUUUAAAACCAGAUAUGGUUUUUUAUGAUUUCUGGUUUUGGAUCCCAGACUUGGCUCGCCAACUUGGGAUCCACUCCAUAUGCUAUGUAGUGGUUUCCUCGAUGAUCAUGUCGUUAGGAUCAAACAUCAGGACGAUAACCAAAGAAACGACUGUAGAAGAGGUGGCGAAAUUGCCUCCUGAUUACCCUUCUUCCACUGUGAAAUUCAAAGGUGAAGAGGCUGCUGCAUUGUUGUUUGAGGCUAACGAUUUCGGGAGUGGACUGUCGUUUGGGGAACGCACAAGGACUGCUGUGAGUGGAAGUGAUGCCAUUGCCUUCAGGACUUGCCGUGAAACCGAGGGACCAUUUUGCGACUAUUUUGCUCGAGGAAUUGGGAAGUCUGUUUUGUUGACAGGGCCUUGCUUGCCAGAAACGAAUACCCAACAGCUUGAUGAGAAAUGGGUUAGUUGGUUGAGCCAGUUCGAGCCAGGGUCUGUUGUGUUUUGCUCCUUUGGAAGCCAGAGUGUGUUGCAGAAGGAUGAGUUCCAGGAGUUGGUGCUUGGGUUUGAGCUAUGUGGGCUACCAUUUUUGGUAGCUUUAAAGCCCCCCCAAGGAUUCUCGACUGUUGAAGAAGCUCUGCCGGAGGGGUUUCAAGAUAGGGUUGGAGGAAGAGGGUUGGUGUAUGGAGGUUGGGUUCCACAAGAGCAGCUAUUGCACCACCCUAACAUCGGCUGUUUCGUUAACCACUGUGGGUAUGGAACGAUGUGGGAGUUUUUGCUUAGUGACUGCCAAAUCGUGUUGAUUCCUGAAAUUGGGGAUCAAAUUUUGAACACCAGAUUAAUGGUGGAAGAACUCAAGAUUGGAGUUGAAGUGGAGAGAGGUAAAAAGAGGGAGGUUUCAAAGGAGUCAUUGAGUGAAGUCAUCAAGUUUGUGAUGGACAAGGACAAUGAAACAGCUAAUAUGAUGAAGAGAAACCAUGCUAAGCUGAAGCAAAUACUAUCUAACAGGGAUCUUCAAGAAGGAUAUAUCAACAAUUUCAUCCAAGCUCUGCAAGAUCUUGUCAAAUAGAGUGGCAAAAUCCAAGCAAUUGGUUAGAAAAUGAAACUGAAUCAUAGGUAUGAUUAUUGUUUUAUCACAUUCUUAUUUUCUAAUUGUCCAUGCUUUUAUUAAUUUCAAAUAAAGCAAUGUUUAUUAAAUUACAAUUUUAAUAUAUAAAUAAAAAUUCAAAUAAACUUUAAUUGAAAGUUCCAAUGAAAUGAAAAUUUGAAAUUCAAAUAAAAUUCAAAUAAAAUAUCAAUUUAAAGCAAUAUUUAUCAAAUUACAAUUUAAAUAUAUGAAUAAAAUUUAUAUAAAUAUAUAAUUUAAAUAAAGAAAGCAAUAUUUAUUAAAUUACAAUUUAAAUAUAUAAAUAAAAAUUCAAAUAAAAUUUAAUUAAAAAUUACAUUGAAUUGAAAUGAAAUUCAAAUAAAAUAUCAAUUUAAAGCAAUAUUUAUUAAAUUAUAAUUUAAAUAUAUAAAUAAAAAUUUAAUUCAACAAUUACAUGACAAAUGAAGUUAUAAUUAAAAAAGAAAAAAAAAGUGAAAUGAAAUUGAAAUCAAAUUCAAAUGAAAAAAAAAUUCGAAAUGCCAAUACAUGACAGGCCCACACUUGUGACAGCCUUGUCAAAACAGGCCACCCAAUGGUUGGCACCAGCGGCCCAAUGUGCCAGAUCAGCCUGUCAAUGGCCGAUUUCAAAAAAAUUAAAUUUUGUCAGGCCUAUGAGGCCUAAUCUGUGUCAAAUCGGCCACUCAAUGGCCGGCAUCAGUAGACUAGACCUGCGCUGACAUGUAUCGGGGUAGGGCCCAAAAUUUUAUUUUCUUUUUUUCCCCUUUUUACCCCUACUCAACCACUAUGGUCCCCCACUUUAAAUGUCCCAAAAUUCGAGCACCAUCGCCGAUAACUAUCGUUCACCGUCGAUCACCGUCGCUGAUCACAGUCGUUCAUGGUUGAUCACUGUCAUCGAUCAACAUCUAUUACUACUGAUCAAGGCUGAUCACCGAUCACCUCUGUCGAUCACCACUGAUCACUCUAUGGGUCCUAAUCCUAAUUCUCUUUUAAAUGACGACAAAAACAUUGCUAAAAAUAUGAAUAAGGUAAAUUUUAUACCAAAUGACCCAUUUACUUUGAAUAACUAUGAUAACUUGUUUUUUAAACAAGAAAUAUAACAUUUUAUAUUUAUUAUAAAUGCAGGAUCAGUACCGAAUUGUGAGACCUUGAUUGCAUGAUCUUGAAUAUUUUCGAAAAAUGCUUUUCGAAAAAUCAACUAUUGGCAAACAAACGAACCCUAAGUGCCUCUACUUAUAUGAUUUUAGUCAUCACACACGGUUGAACAACAUAACCAUAUAUCAUAAAAGAGGGACACUUGUUUCAAUAUAAGCAUGGUAUAUAUAUAUAUAUAUGUGUGAGAUAUAGAUGAUCCUUAAUCUUGCUAUACUUUUUUAUUAUUAAUAAAUUAAAUUGUUUUUCGUAAUUUUAUUAAAUAAUUUAAGAUUAUAUUUGAUGUAUUAAUAAUAAUAAAAUUUGAAUUUAAAUUAUUUAUCAUUUAAAUAUCCUGAAAGGGAGAGGAAUUGAUUGACACGAAAGCUUUUCUUGAAAUUUAUUUUAUGGCCGACAACUAUUUGUCUGUAUUGAUAAACAUGUUAGAAAAUAAAUGGCGUAGGUAGUCUCAGUGUGGACUGUGGACUUUGAUGUCAGUUAUUUUCGUGUCAGAUAACUUUGUUCAUCCAAACCAAAGCAAAAAAGAUGAGCAAAUCAGGCUGCUCAAAGCUUCACAUCGCCAUGUUUCCCUGGGUUGCAUAUGGUCAUUUCAUUCCCUACCUUCAUCUCUCAAAUAAGUUGGCUCAUAAAGGCCAUAAAAUUUCCUUCUUUCUGCCCAAAGGAGUUCAACCAAAGCUUGAAAACCUGAACCAAUACCCCAACUUGAUUCGGUUCUUUCCUCUACAUAUACCCCAUGUCGAUGGCCUCCCUCCAGGUGCUGAAACUACAUCUGUUGUUCCUAUGAACCAACAAAAAUACCUUGCUUUUGCCGUAGAUCAAACCAGGGACCAAGUUGAAGGAAUCUUAAAGGUUAUAAAACCUGAUAUGGUUUUUUAUGAUUUCUGGUUUUGGAUCCCAGACUUGGCUCGCCAGCUUGGGAUCCUCCCCAUAUUCUAUGUAGUGGUUUCCUCGAUGAUCAUGUCGAUUGGGCCAAGCACCAAGACUCUAACCAAAGAAAUGACUGUAGAAGAGGUGACGAAAUUGCCUCCUGAUUACCCUUCUUCCAUUGUGAAAUUCAAAGCUGAAGAGGCUGCUGUAUUGUUGUUUGGGGCUGAGGAUUUCGGGAGUGAACUGUCGUUUGGGGAACGGAUAAGGACUGCUGUGAGUGGAAGUGAUGCUAUUGCCUUCAGGACUUGCCGUGAAACCGAGGGACCAUUUUGCGACUAUGUUGCUCGAGGAUAUGGGAAGCCUGUUUUGUUAUCAGGGCCUUGCUUCCCUGAAACAAAGACCCAACAGCUUGAUGAGAAAUGGGUUAGUUGGUUAAGCCAGUUCGAGCCAGGUUCUGUUGUGUUUUGCUCAUUUGGAAGCCAGAGUGUGUUACAGAAGGACGAGUUCCAGGAGUUGGUGCUUGGGUUUGAGCUAUGUGGGCUACCAUUUUUGGUAGCUUUAAAGCCACCCCAAGGAUUCCCGACUGUUGAAGAAGCUCUGCCGGAGGGGUUUCAAGAUAGGGUUGGAGGAAGAGGGUUGGUGUAUGGAGGUUGGGUUCCACAAGAGCAGCUAUUGCACCACCCUAACAUCGGCUGUUUCGUUAACCACUGUGGGUAUGGAACGAUGUGGGAGUUUUUGCUUAGUGACUGCCAAAUCGUGUUGAUUCCUGAAAUUGGGGAUCAAAUUUUGAACACCAGAUUAAUGGUGGAAGAACUCAAGAUUGGAGUUGAAGUGGAGAGAGGUAAAAACAGGGAGGUUUCAAAGGAGUCAUUGAGUGAAGCCAUCAAGUUUGUGAUGGACAAGGACAAUGAAACAGCUAAUAUGAUGAAGAGAAACCAUGCUAAGCUGAAGCAAAUACUAUCUAACAGGGAUCUUCAAGAAGGAUAUAUCAACAAUUUCAUCCAAGCUCUGCAAGAUCUUGUCAAAUAGAGUGGCAAAAUCCAAGCAAUUGGUUAGAAAAUGAAACUGAAUCAUAGGUAUGAUUAUUGUUUUAUCACAUUCUUAUUUUCUAAUUGUCCAUGCUUUUAUUAAUUUCAAAUAAAGCAAUGUUUAUUAAAUUACAAUUUUAAUAUAUAAAUAAAAAUUCAAAUAAACUUUAAUUGAAAGUUCCAAUNNNNNNNNNNNNNNNNNNNNNNNNNNNNNNNNNNNNNNNNNNNNNNNNNNNNNNNNNNNNNNNNNNNNNNNNNNNNNNNNNNNNNNNNNNNNNNNNNNNNNNNNNNNNNNNNNNNNNNNNNNNNNNNNNUUAUUAAAUUACAAUUUAAAUAUAUAAAUAAAAAUUCAAAUAAAAUUUAAUUAAAAAUUACAUUGAAUUGAAAUGAAAUUCAAAUAAAAUAUCAAUUUAAAGCAAUAUUUAUUAAAUUAUAAUUUAAAUAUAUAAAUAAAAAUUUAAUUCAACAAUUACAUGACAAAUGAAGUUAUAAUUAAAAAAGAAAAAAAAAGUGAAAUGAAAUUGAAAUCAAAUUCAAAUGAAAAAAAAAUUCGAAAUGCCAAUACAUGACAGGCCCACACUUGUGACAGCCUUGUCAAAACAGGCCACCCAAUGGUUGGCACCAGCGGCCCAAUGUGCCAGAUCAGCCUGUCAAUGGCCGAUUUCAAAAAAAUUAAAUUUUGUCAGGCCUAUGAGGCCUAAUCUGUGUCAAAUCGGCCACUCAAUGGCCGGCAUCAGUAGACUAGACCUGCUCUGACAUGUCCCGGGGCAGGGGCCAAAAUUUUCUUUUCUUUUUUCCCCUUUUUACCCCUACUCAACCACUAUGGUCCCCCACUUUAAAUGUCAUGCUUCAACCUAAAAUUCGAGCACCAUCGCCCAUAACUAUCGUUCACCAUCGAUCACCACCGCUGAUCAUAGUCGUUCAUGGUUGAUCACUGUCAUCGAUCAACAUCUAUUACUGCUGAUCAAGGCUAAUCACCGAUCACCGCCGUCGAUCACUGUUGAUCACCACUGAUCACUCCAUGGGUCUUAAUCCUAAUUCUCUUUUAAAUGACGACAACCGCAUUGCUAAAAAUAUGAAUAAGGUAAAUUUUAUACCAAAUGACCCAUUUACUUUGAAUAACUAUGAUAACUUGUUUUUAAACGAGAAAUAUAACAUUUUAUAUUUAUUAUAAAUGCAGGAUUAGUACCGAAUUGUGAGACCCCGAUUACAUGAUCCUGAAUAUUUUUUCGAUCUGAGGGUUUUGCCAUAUUUGAACGCUGUGAGUUUUAGGGUAGCCAUGUACAUUCAGAUAGCCGAUCUACAGGCCAAUUUAAUAUUGGCCUUAGUUGAAAUAUGACGCCCAAAGGCACACAUGUUUCACCUCUCAUGUGGGGAGGUCACCAUUACACUGCAAGACGUAGCAGUCUAGCUGGGGAUGUCUAUUAACAACGAAGUAGUGACAGGGCCUAGAAAAUUGCUCGUUCCGUGGGGCACUUGCGAAUGGUUACUUAGAAGAAUGCCCCCAAUGAUGAGGAAUGAAGAUUGGCCAGUCUUAAAUUUACCUGGUAAGAACAAACUUCCAAAAUCUACCUAGCAGUCUAACGCAAAUGGACAUUAUCUACGCUGCAAGAGCGUUUAUUCUGCAACUUAUAGGUGGAGUACUGAUGUCGGACGUGAGUCAAAAUAAAGUCCACAUCAUGUACCUCCUCUUACUAGAGGACCUUGAGCAAGCCGAGAUAUUUAGUUGGGGCUCUGCAGUAUUGGCAUGCUUAUACAGCAAGCUUUGUCGAGCAACAAAACCGUCUACCAAAACUAUGGGUGUAACACUCCUAACCCGUAUCUGUUGUCGGAAUAGGGUUACAGAGCAUUACCGAAGUUUUCAAAUCUUACGAACACAUAUUUAUAAACAUUUCAUAUCAUAUCAUUGAACAUAUUAAAUCUAAACCAAAUCAUUCAUAUUGUCCCUUACACGAGCCUUCGAGGCCUUAAAUACAUAUUAGAAACAAGUUGGGACUAAAUCAGAAACUUAGAGAAUUUUUCAAAAAAAAUUAAAAAUUUUCAACACUGCAGGGGUCACACGGCCAAGAGACACGACCAUGUCUUAGGCCGUAUGGACAUUCGAAGUAUGGACACACGAUCAUGUUCUAGCUUGUGUCCAUACUCGUGUAACUCACUAACUUGGGUCACACGGCCAAGCCACCAGGCCGUGUACCCUUCGAAAUAACCUCACACGCCCGUAUGUCAGGCCGUGUGCUAGGCCGUGUAACAACUUGACUUGCAACCCUUUGAAAGCUACAGGGUACACACGGUCGUGUCACCUAACCGUGUGUCACACACGGCAGUGACACGCUCAUGUGUGGACGAAAAUAGGCCAUUUUACAAGCCAUUUUUGUAAUGACCCAAAAUUCAAGGUCAUAAAAAAAAUAUGAUAUCGAGCCUCCGUCUUAGUAAAUUGAGUCAUAAAUAAUUAUUAGAAGCAAUUAUGAGUUUAGUGGAGUGCUUAAUUAGGUAUUAAUUAGGUGAAUUUAGCCUAAUUUAAAGUAAUAAGGAAAAAGGAUCAAGUUGAAUAAAGAAUGAAAGCCUAAUUAUAGAUUAAAAGAAAGUAAAAAGGGCUAAAAUGGCAAUUAAGCCAUUUAUAUGAAAUGAGGCGGCAUAUAUGCAUUAAAAUCUAAGAUUUUAUUUAAGUUAUACAUAAAUAUUAUAUAUAUUAUUAUUAUAAUUAUUAACCAUUAUUAUUAUUAUUAUUAUUAUUAUUAUUAUUAUUAUUAAAUAAAGUAAAUAGUAGACAAUUGUAUGGUAAUAAAAUAUACAUGUGUAAAAAUUAUAUUUGUACAUUUGUAAACUAAACACUCAAAUUACUUAUAAUUUAAGUAUGAAGAUAUUUUAUAAUUAUUAAUUGAAUUAAUUAUAUUAUAAUAUUUUUAUAUAAUAAAUAAAUUAAAGACAUGACAAGUGUAUGAUGAUGAUAAGGUACAAAUGUAAUAAUAUUUAUGUGUACAAUCGUAAUAAAUGUAAAUGAUAUUAAAAUAGAUAUUUACUAAUUAUUAUUUUUAAGUUAAAGAUAUUUAUUAAAUUAAAUAAUUAAACUAUGAGACUUUUAUUUGAUAAACAAAUUAAAUAUGACAAUUGUAAUUAAAUCAUUGGUACAAAUGUAGAAAUAUAGGUGUGACCAAAUGUAAAAUAAGUAUUGUUAUUAAAAUAGAUAUUUAUUAUAAUCAUUAUAUUAUGUUAAUAAAAUAAAUAAAAUAUAAAAAGAAACAAAAACAAAGAAUAGAAACAGAAUUGAGACGAGAAGCAGGGGAGAAAAAGUGAAAGAAAAAGGGUAAGAAAAAUAAAAGAGAAAAUUAGGGAUUUGAAGCUUGAAACUUUAAUUGGUAAGUUUAAUCAAGUGCUUUUCUUAUAAAUUUGAUGUUCUUGGAAUCCAAGAGGUGAAAUACUCUUGGAUUUAAGUUGAAAUUUUGAAAGUUAAUAGAUUUUUUAGUAGGGUUUAUGUUGAUAGAAAUUUUGAUUGGAAUUGAAUAAAGGAUUGAAUUGUAAACUAAGCCAUAAGUUUUGAGUUUUAGGGAUUAAAUUGAAAUAAAUUCGAAAUUGGGAAAAUAUGCUCAAAUUUUAAUAGUUAAAUUUUAGUUUGGAUGAAAUUUGAAUAAAAAUAGAGUGUGAAUUGAAUUAGGAAAGUAAGUGAACUUAGUUAGGAUCAAAUUGAGAAUAAUGAAGAAAUUUAAUAGAAAUUCAAUUAUUUACCAUAAUUAGUGUUGUAAUUAAUAGUGUAAAUUAUUAUUAUUUUCGUAGCUAGCAAAGAACCAGAAGCAUCGGUACAGAAGGGAAAAGAGAAGAUUAUCGAGGAGUAAACCCGAGAAAAUCAUGGUUUGUAUUACUAUAAUUCAAAUCACUUUUUAUUAAAUGUUUUAUAUAAAUUUUAUAUUUAAUAAAUGAGUAUAAGGUAAGUGUUAAUAUUUGAGUUGAAUGGGAAUUGAUUGGAAGGUGAAUGUGUAUGUAUAAUUGAAUUGUAUAUUGAUUUGAAUGUGAAAUUGAAUAUUGACUUGAAAAAAAAAUGGAAAGGUGAAUUUUGAAUUGAGUUGUGAUUAAAAGUGAAAAAGUGGAAUUGAAUUGAAAUGUGAAUUUGGAGACCCUAUUAACUAGUCGGGCUGAGUCGGACAUAGUUGGCAUGCUAUAGGAUUGGAAGAGUUCAGGGAUACUUCGACCUCGAGUCGAUGAGCCACUGGGUGUUAUUAUAUUUCUUUGGAUAGAUUCGAUGAGGUACUGGGUACCAACUUUCUUCGGCUUUGCCGAUGAGACACUGGGUGUUAACUAUUGCUUCGAACUAUCCGAAUGAGGCACUGGGUACUAUGCCCAUACUGGAGUGUUUGGUUGGAUCCGUGUAUCCGCCAAAGUCCGAGUUUUGUUAAUAGGGUAAAUAAUGAAAUGAUAAACUGAAUAAGUUGAUCAAUCGAGCUAUUGAAAUGAAAUGAAAAGUUGAAUGGUGAAUUGAAAUGUGAUAUGAGAUUGAGAAAUGAAUCUGAGGUUCAAAAUGUGUCCAAUUUCCAAAUUGUGGAUAUAUGAUAUUAAUUGAUGAAUUAUUAAUGUUGAAACAUGAAAUUUGAGUUUAAAUUUGUAUGUAUGAUUUUAUACAUUACAUGCUUAUUAAUAUUAUAAUUUGAAUUAUGGUAAUACCACUGAGUAUGAAAUACUCAGCGUACGGUUAUUUCCGUGAGCAGGUCAUUAGAGUUUAAGGUCCAGUUUAGCAUCCAGAAAGAUCCCAACUCCAUCAAGAAAACUUUGGUGAUGUAUUUCUUCCUUUUAUUUAAGUGGCAUGUACUAGGUGAUUGUACACGAGUCAUAUAUAUAUAAAUAUAUAUGCUAAAUGAUCUUGGUUGUAAGUAAAUGGUUAUAAUCUUUAGAAUGAUAAAUAAAGUAGCGUUUUAAAGUAUAAAAUUAUUGAUUGAAAUAUUGGUGUUGGGUUUUUUUUGUUUUAAGUUUUCAGGGGGUUUUAUGUAAAAAUAAGCAGAAAUGCUGUCGAAAUUUUUAAAAAAAUGAAGCCAAUUAGCAUAAAUUUAUAUGAAUUUAUGAUUCUUUUAUAUAUAUUCGUGAUAUAUUAAGAAUAAUUUGUGAAUUGUCCGAGAUGUCUGAUAAUGCCUCGUAAUCCUGUUCCGGCGACGGUUUAGGGUUAGGAAAUGUUACAAUUUUUCUCACCCAUCAAGGCAUAUACCUACAACAAAAAAUGCAAAUAUACACAAACCAUAACAAGACACCAAAAUCAUGCAUAUUCUAGCGUCAUACUCAUUUAGCUUCGUACAUAUGCAAAUUUGUAAAAAAAGUACAAAAACUCGUAGCUAUAAUUUACGAAAUAACUUCGUAAACAUGUACGAGUUAGGACUGAAUUUUUUUUUCCUUUUAAAGAAAUCAGAACUGAAUUAUUAUUUAAUAAUAAUCUUUUAAAAAAGAUGAUUAUAAUAUAUCUAUUGGGUAAGUAGAAAACAAGAAUAUUUGAUUAUUCGUUGAUUAGAAGUUAUACAUACUCCGUUUAAUAAUUACAAUAGGAAAAACAGAGUUGGCAUGCGUAAUUGCCUUCGUGUCAGCGUCUCUAAUUUCUUAGAGGUAAUGAUUACAAAAUAUAAUAAAAUAUUUUCAGUAUGGACAAACAUGAUGAAGAAAAAAAAGGCGUUUGUUGUGCAAUUGUUAAUGGUAGGCGUUAUAAUUAGAUCGGUUUUUUGUCUCUCAGAUCACAUUGUGCAAGCAAAAAAAGAAAGAUGAGCAAAUCAGGCCACUCAAAGCUUCACAUCGCCAUGUUUCCAUGGGUUGCCUAUGGUCAUUUCAUCCCCUUCCUUCAUCUUUCUAAUAAGCUGGCUCAUAAAGGCCACCAAAUUUCCUUCUUUCUGCCCAAAGGAGUUCAACCAAAGCUUGAAAACCUGAACCAAUACCCCAACUUGAUUCGGUUCUUUCCUCUACAUAUACCCCAUGUCGAUGGCCUCCCUCCAGGUGCUGAAACUACAUCUGUUGUUCCUAUGAACCAACAAAAAUACCUUGCUUUUGCCGUAGAUCAAACCAGGGACCAAGUUGAAGGAAUCUUAAAGGUUAUAAAACCUGAUAUGGUUUUUUAUGAUUUCUGGUUUUGGAUCCCAGACUUGGCUCGCCAGCUUGGGAUCCUCCCCAUAUUCUAUGUAGUGGUUUCCUCAAUGUCGAUGGGGUUAAACACCAAGGUACUAACCAAAGAAAUGACUGUAGAAGAGGUGAUGGAAUUGCCUCCUGGUUACCCCCUUUCCACAGUGAAACUCAAACCUGAAGAGGCUGCUGUAAUGUUGUUUGAGGCUGAGGAUUUCGGAAGUGGACUGUCGUUUCGGGAACGGAUAAGGACUGCUGUGAAAGGAAGUGAUGCCAUUGCCUUCAGGACUUGCAGUGAAAUCGAGGAACCAUUUUGUGACUUUGUCGCUGAAGGAUUUGGGAAGCCUGUUUUGUUGUCAGGGCCUUGUUUGCCUGAAACGAAUACCCAACAGCUUGAUGAGGAAUGGGUUAGUUGGUUGAGCCAGUUCGAGCCAGGGUCUGUUGUGUUUUGCUCAUUUGGAAGCCAGAGUGUGUUGCAGAAGGAUGAGUUCCAGGAGUUGGUGCUUGGGUUUGAGCUAUGUGGGCUACCAUUUUUGGUAGCUUUAAAGCCACCCCAAGGAUUCUCGACUGUUGAAGAAGCACUGCCGGAGGGGUUUCAAGAUAGGGUUGGAGGAAGAGGGUUGGUGUAUGGAGGUUGGGUUCCACAAGAGCAGCUAUUGCACCACCCUAACAUCGGCUGUUUCGUUAACCACUGUGGGUAUGGAACGAUGUGGGAGUUUUUGCUUAGUGACUGCCAAAUCGUGUUAAUACCUGAAAUAGGGGAUCAAAUUUUGAACACCAGGUUGAUGGCGAAUGAACUCAAGAUUGGGGUGGAAGUGGAGAGAGGUAAAAACAGGGAGGUUCCAAAGGAGUCAUUGAGUGAAGCCAUCAAGUUUGUGAUGGACAAGGACAAUGAAACAGCUAAUAUGAUGAAGAGAAACCAUGCUAAGCUGAAGCAAAUACUAUCUAAUAGGGAUCUUCAAGAAGGAUAUAUCAACAAUUUCAUCAAAGCUCUACAAGAUCUUGUCAAAUAGAGAGUCCAAGUUGCAAAACAAGAAGAAUAUAUCCAUUUCAUUAUUUGGAAUGAAUUGAAGAGUAGUCCUUGCAGAUUAGCUCUCAAAAGGAUUUGGUCAAGGUUCUUUCACCAUGUUAAACGGCAUCUAAUGAUGCUGCUCAUUUUCUAGCCAAAAAUGGACUGAAUAGUAAUACUGCCACUAUGUGGGUGGAAGAUUACCCACCCAUUCUUCAUCUUUAUGUCAUCACUGGUGCUAUGAAAAUGUUCAAUUUCAACAACAAUAGCAAAAAAGUCAUCCAAUAGGGUAAUGUAAUUUGGAAUGAAUGUUGUUCCUAAUCUACACUUAAAAAUGUCAUCAUUUAUUUAUCUUUCUUUUUUGCGUUAGGGGUUAAAUAAGUUCAAUUCAGUCUCAAUUAACCUCUCAAACAAUAAAAGCAUAUCAAAUGGUUUCCGCUGUUGAUAGUUAAUGUGUUGAUGUGGCUAUUCAUGACAGCUGAAUAGACUAUUAUGAUGCUAACAUGACAAGUCCACAUCAACAAAAAUAAUUUUUUUUAAAAUACAAUAUUUAAAAAUAUAAAUUCAAAAUGAAUGGAAGUCUCGUAUUUAUUUGUUAGAUUAAUUCUGAAUGUAGUUUUUUUAAAUUAUAAAAAAGUUUAAAAAAUAAAAACAUUAUAAAAAUUGUAAAAAUGAGAAAUAAAAUUUUAAAAAAUAAAAAUAAUUUAAAAAAUUAAAUUCAAAAUAUAUCUAGACAAACGGACAUCCACUUUCAAUUGAAUUUUGACAGCAGUUUGUUCAUAUUUAUUCUAGAUAUUUUUUUUUAAUUUUUGAAAAAUUAAAAUUAUGAGAUAAAUAUCAAAUCUAUACAUGAACUUUGCUCUAAUGUGUAAUCUGAUAGAUGAACUUUAAUUUAGUAUAAUCAUACACAUAAAAACUUGAAUUGUGGUUCAUAUAUGUACAUGAAACUUUGAUUUUGAUUCAGAUGUACAUUUAAAAAAAAGGAAUACAUACAUUUAUUUUUGUAUUGGAUUAAUAUAAUGGUUUGUGUAUGCAAUAUGUAAUACCCAAAUUUUUACCCUGCCUACAAUAAAACAAAGUCCAUUAUUUUUAAGCCCAAUUACAAGACAAAUUACAUGGCCCAAUUUCAAUUGGUGGCCCAGUUACAAACAUAGCCCGAAACAGAUGAAGAAACCCUAGGGUUUCUGAGUAAAGCUCCAGCCGCCGCAACCCCAAUCUUGGCCGAAUCUCCAUGGAUUCACCUGCAUAGCAAGAAAAACGAAAAUGGAAAGGGAAUCAACAAUAUUUGUAAAUCAAAUCAAGAACUGAUUUCUUUCCUUUUUAGAUUUAUUUCAUAUGGCUAUAAAAAAGCCAUAAACACACUGUAAAGAGGAUCCGAUUUCGAAAUAAAAAUAAAAAUAAAAACUACAACUUUCACAAUAUCAAGAGCAAAAAAUCGAAGUAAAGGUUGAUACUAGCAUUUCUAUUUUAUUUUUAUUAUAUUUAUUUAUUGUUAUUAUUUAUAUAAAUACAAAAAGGAAGGAAAAACCUGUUUACCAGCCUUAAUCGCCGCGGAUGGCCGAGGAAGUCGUCAUUGAGGAUUGACGACCGGAAGCCGAAAAGUUUCUAUACUUUUAGGGGCCUUUUUGUUAAUUUUUCAUGGGAUUUGAGCCUGGAUCUAGGCUCAGGGGUCAAGAAGGUUGAAAAGGAAAUUUUUUUUACUUUUUCCGGCCACCGUGGACGGUGGUGACGACGCCGGAGAUCGGCGGCCGGCGCGGUGGCUGAUGACCGGCCGAUGACCGUCUGAUGAUCGGCCCAUGGCCGGAGGACAGAAAGGUUGAGAGAGUUUUUUAAAAGGUUUUUUUGUUUUUUUUUUAAAAUGUUUUGAAAU